rnacentral:lncRNA from 1 species
UAAUUUGUAGAAAUUCAUUUCCAUCGGUUUCCAUUGGCUUUAGCACAAACCGAAACAGAGCUCUGGGGAAAAGUUUUACUUCUUGUGAUAUUAUGCCUUUGUUUCUUCAUUCAUCAUAUUUUUCGAAUUCAUGCUCUCAUUCAGAGGGUAAAGCCUUUUCCAGGCUGCUUUGUAGCCAAACUUUGACGCCUUUGAUGCAUGACUGUCAUUCUUUUUCUUGGUUAUUCAAACUUUCAGUUAUAUAUUAUGUGAAAGAUUCUUUUUCUUAUUAAAGUACAUUGUUGGUUUUUUCUUUUUCCUUCAUUUUGUCUGAAUUAAAGCUAAAAUUGUAAGUUUUUUUUUAAUUGGAAAAUAUUAAUAUUUCAUUAAACAAAUAACAACAAUACAACUACUUGCAGUACAUCACUAGUUCACAUUACAAAGAUUAAAAUACAGAGAUCUGUUUUAGUUACAGAGAUCUAUUACAGUAAUCAAUUGAAUUAACCCCUAAAAGUUUAUUAAAGAAUAGGAAGAAACACAUGUACACUAAAAGAAAAACUUCCAUUCGUAAUGCACAUAUAAUUCAAGCUCCAUUUGGGGUUCCAUGGCUCUUUCGAAAUUAUCUCCACCACCAUAUUUAUGCUUUCCAGCUAGUACCAAAAUAGAUUUACCGUAAAAAUUGAUUCACACCCUCUAACUUUACAAACAUGAGAAACAUAGACUCUAGAUCUAAAAGUUGAAGGGUUAUGUACUGGCAAAUAGAAAUUAAACCAACAUUAUCACUAUAACAGAUACAUUAUUACCAUCAAAGAUCAAGAUCUGAAUGGAUGCACAGCAGCCAUCGUCAAGACCAAAAGAGGAAGAAAUUGAAAUAGAACAACCACCUUAAGGUGGAGAAGGCCAGAACAAGACACCCAUCCUCAAAUCAUAUGGAAGAGGUGGGUGCAACCAAAAAAAAAAAAAAAGAGAGAAUCCACUGGAGAAGGCAAGAAAGAUUUCUGCCUCCAAAGAUUUGGUGAGGAAGAGAUGAGGAAUUUGGAGAGGAAAAGUUUCGGAGAGAUCUAGAGUUUGGCUUUAAAAAUGUGUUUUAAAGAAAAAGUUGUUGAGAGGAAACGAGACCAAUUAGAUCAUGCAAGAAGUUAAUUUUUUUUAAAUAAAAAAGGAGAAAUGAUGAUCUUACAAAGUUUGAAUAUAAAGUUUAAAAUCUAAAAUUAAUGACUUGACAAUCGAUGCAUUAUUAGCCUAAUAGAGUAAGAAGUCCCUGCUAAAGAAUUCAAUAUUCUACCCAGAAUACUUCUUUCUAUUGCAAUUAAAUGAUGAUUAUUUGUUUUUAUCAUGAAAGCUAAAAUAACUUUGUGAGUAAUUUGAUCCUUUUGCAGUAUAAAAAUAAAUUCAGAAAUGGGCACCAUUCUUCCUUUGUUUAAAUCAUGGUCUCCACGGAAGUAAAAUUUUGGUUACUACACGUAAUGAGUUAGUUGCACGUAUGAUGGGAUCAACAAAUAUUAUCUUCAUUGAGCAAUUGAUUGAAGAGGAUUGCUAGUCGGUUUUCAAGCGAUUAGCAUUUUUCGGUCACUCUUUCGAGGAUUGUGAAAGAUUAGAACCAAUCGGCCGAAAAAUUGCACGCAAGUGCAAAGGCCUGCCUCUUGCUGCAAAGGUAAUAAGGAAUCUCUCGCGUUCAAAAAGUGCAAUAAACGACUGGCAAAGAAUUUUAGAUAGUGAAAUGUGGAAGGCAGAAGAGAUUGGGAAAGGUCUUUUGACUCCUUUAUUGUUGAGUUAUAAUGAUUUGUCGUCCAAUUCUAUGGUAAAACAAUAUUUUUCAUUUUGUGCUGUCUUUCCGAAAGACUACAAUAUGUAUAAAGAGGAGCUAAUUUCACUAUGGAUGGCUCAAGGUUACCUUAAUGCAGAAGAAUAUGAAGAGAUGGAGAUGACUGGGGAAGAGUGUUUCAACAUUUUAGCAACACACUCUUUCUUUCAAGAGUUUGAGAAAAAUGAUGAUGAUGAUAUUAUGAGUUGCAAGAUGCAUGACAUAGUACAUGAUUUUGCUCAAUUUGUAAGUAGCAAAGAAUGUUUGUGGCUAGAAAUUAAUGGUACCAAAGAAUCAGUCAUAAACUCUUUUGGUGGGAAAGUCCGUCCCUUAGGUUAAAGUUUAAAGGAGGCGCUUUAUUUCCUAUGUCCAUUCAUGGACUUAAUAGAUCGCGUACCCUCCUAAUUGAUUAUGAAAGUCCUUCCAAUUCGUCUCUUGAUAGUAGCAUCCUUCCUGAGUUAUUUAGUAAAUUGGCAUGUUUAAGAGCAUUAGUUAUAAGGCAAUCAUUCUUGCUUUGUCGUCCUGACCCAAAUUUGAUUAGAGAAAUUCCAGAAGAUGUCGGGAAAUUGAUGCUUUUAAAAUAUCUUAAUUUGUCUGAAUUACACAUAGAGAGACUGCCUGAGACUUUGUGUGAAUUAUAUAAUUUACAAAAGCUAGAUAUUAGGGGGUGCCGAAAUCUAAGAGAAUUGCCUGCAGGGAUUGGGAAGUUAAAGAACAUGAGGAGUUUGCUAAAUGGUCUUACUUGUUCGUUGAAGUACAUGCCAAUAGGAUUUUCCAAAUUAACCAAUCUUCGAACAUUAGACAAGUUUGCUGUGGGUGGAGGUGUUGAUGGUGGCAGUACGUGGAGGCUUGAAUGUCUGAAAAAUCUUCAACUCCUUCGAGAAUGUGGAAUAGAAGGGCUGAGUAAUUUGUCACAUGUAGAUGAGGCUGAGAGAUUAGAACUCAAAAAUAUGGAAAACCUCCUUCGUUUGUAUCUUUUGUUUGAAGUUGUAGAUUGGGAAGAUAAAGAAGAGGAUGAAGAUGAAGGUGGGGAAGAUGAAGGUGAGGAUGGGGGAUAUGAAGAAGAAGAAGGAGGUGAAGUUGUAAAUGGGGAAGAUGAAGAAAGGAGCAGGAAGAAUGAGAAAGAUGAACAACUUCUUGAAGCCUUACAGCCGCCUUUGAAUGUAGAGGAAUUAUGGAUUUUAUUAUAUGGAGGCAACAUUUUUCCCAAAUGGUUGACUUCGCUAACCAAUAUAAGGAAUUUAUUUCUUCACAGGUGUCUUAACUGUGAGCAUUUGCCUCCUCUGGGAAAAUUGCCUCUGGAAAAACUCGCCCUGCAAAAUUUGAAUAGUGUAAAAAGAGUGGGUAAUGAGGUUUUGGGAAUAGAGGAAAGUAGUGAUGAUGACCCGUCUUCAUCUUCAUCAUCAUCAUCAGUUAUUGCCUUCCCCAAAUUGAAAUCACUCAAAAUUUGGGACAUGGAAGAAUUGGAAGAGUGGGAUUACACGGUUACGAGGAAGGAAAACAUCUCCAUCAUGCCACGUCUUUCUUCCUUGGAAAUUGAUUGUUGCCCCAAAUUAAAGGUGUUGCCAGAUGACCUUCUUCAAACGUCGACACUGCAGGAAUUGAGUAUUGGGGGAUGUCCUAUUCUAGAAGACUGGCAUAAGAUAUCUCACAUUCCCCACAUCGAGUUUUAAAUUCUCGAACGGUUGCAAUUACUAUAACCCGCCGGUAAUUUCUCCUCCUCCUCUGUUUUGCUUCAUUGUUACUUGUAAUGAAAUUAAUAAUAAUAAUGAUAAUAAUUAAAUUUUGAAUUAAAUUUCUAUAUUUUGCCAAUGUCUCAUAGGAAUGUGCAAUAUUUUCUAAUAUUUUGAUUUUUGUAUUGAAUAUAACUAUUUACUUCAGUGUACGAUAAUUUGUUACGUGAAACUUCUUGAGAGACUGAAUUUCUGGGGUACUUUGUAGUAAUGUUGAAAACUAAGUGAUGGCUGGGUCUGCUCUGUUUCAGUUGAGGAUGGAUUGCUGCCUGGAAGACAUGCUGAUUAUUAUUGCAUGAUAUUAAGGUGCUGAGAUCAUCAUUUCUAUCUUGUUUCUUUCUUUGAACGGUUUAUCCUCUAUAAGCAUAUGGAAUUAUGUUAGUAUUAUCACUUCUUCACCCAAUUUUCACUGUUGGUUGUAAUAACCAUUUCAGGUUCUCAAAAGCUACAAAGCAAAGCAUCUUUGGGCUGAUCAUAUAUUUCAAUUGACGAAGGAAUUCGAUGUUGGCACUAUUAUGCAGGUAACCAGAGUUGAUAAUUUGUACAAAUUUGCAUUGUCAGAAUACCCUUCAUAUUCACCGUGUUUCUUUGUGUAGGUAUGUAGAGUAUCAUCUUCAAGGGUUGUAAGAGCCUUUGCAGUAAAUUUAGCUGCUAGUGCAAUUGCUCAUUCAUCGAAGUACAAUUUUGGAUUUUCAAGGUUUGUAUGCUCAGUUGUAAUUAAAAUGCUUAGUCACUUAUUCCUAAUCUUUCUGAUUUUCAAGUUAUUUUAGGUCCAUAAACAGUUUUCACACAUGUUUCAAUGCUUCUUGUAAUGACAAUUUCAUAUCUUGCAUCUCUAAUGUGCAUCAUGUUUGAAACAGCUUUCGCGGUAAAGUCUUCGAUGCUUGUACAAUGGCUGUGAAGAGGCACACUAAAUUCGGUACAUUUUGGUACGGCCUCCUAAUGCUGGUAUAAUGUUGUGUAUAUUUAGUUUGCAAUUAAAACUUAGGUAUACAAAUCUUAAUCUGCAAUAGAUCAUAGUGUACAAAGUUUCUAUUAAUGAUAUGGUGACUGAAAGUUUAAUUAUCUUAAAAUUUUUCUAUGACUCUCUUUUACUUUCUUUGUACAGAGUACUUGUUUUGGCUGAUGUGUCUAAUUCAUAGAAAUUCAUUUCCAUCGGUUUCCAUUGGUUUGAGCACAAACAGAAACAGAGGUCUGAGGAGAAGUUUCACUUCUUGCGGUAUUAUGCCUUUGUUUCUUUAUUCACCAUAUUUGUUCGAAUUCAUGCCCUCAUUAAGAAUUUAAAGCCUUUUCCAGGCAGCUUUGUAGCCAAAUUUUGAUGCCAUAAAUGCAUGAUUGUCAUUUAGAUUUUCCGAAUAUUUGUUAUUUGGAGAAAUAUUGUUAAAAGGGCAUUUGAUUAGCUACUUACCCUAUGAAUUUAGUUGCCAAUAAUAGAUUGAAAUUGAGUAGGCUAAUGGUUGAGGAAAGUUAUUGUCUUAAUUAAAUUACAGGUGAUAAGAUGUUGCUUGUGUAAUCAGAUAAAUGGGGCAAAUGUCAGAACAAAGAUUGUUCAGUGCUGCUGGUAGGGCAAGGAUGAUGAUGGUGAGGAAGAUUGUUCACAAGCCAAGUAGAGCCCUCCAUUUUGAGAAAUAUCAUCCUCAAAUUUGAAUUGUUGAGCAUAUGAAGUGAUGCUAAAGCCUUAAUAUUAAGUCUUUCUGAAAGUUUCAUUUGAAUGAAUUUUCGGAGAUUGAAUGUUCUUAGCGUGAGUAAGAAAAUUAAGCACAUAUCUGCGAUUUGGAUCGUCGGUGAAUGUUUUCCUUUAAUAUUUGUACAAACCCGUUUCUUAGUAAAAUUUUCUUCAUGUCUUUUACUAUGACAUAGGCUAAUAGCCGUACCACAUAACAUUAUCUUCUUAUUUCUUUAUGCUUGGUUUUGCUACAUAUAAGAAUGCAAUUUUGUAACUACUUAACUCUGCUUCGGCAAAGUUAAGUAGUUACAAAAAUUUUUUUUUUUCGUUUUUCUUUCUCCGAUAAAAUUGCCACAAAUGGAAGCGAUUGGCUUGAUUUUUGCUUCUGUAAAAAGUGGUGGGAGCAAUGUCUUGUGUACCCGCAAGUUAUAAAUCGUCAUAGUUUAAAUGACGAAUCCCGAGUUGCCAUCCAAACUAAAGAAAUUGCAAAUUAAGUAGUUCAUUACAAAUGAUAUAUUUUGAGUUGCUAAUUAUUAAGUAUUUCAUUCAAAAAUGUUCUCGUUCCCACAGUUUCUAAUGUUUAAAGUGCAUCAUUGCUCUACUUCCGUCAUAACAGCAUAAGAGAAUUUAACAUAAUACUGAGAAAAUGAUUAUUUUACCCUAAAUGUAAAUGAUUAUUCUACCCUUAACAUAAAAUAACUAAUUUGCCCUAAUUUAAUAACGAAAAAAAUAGAUGACUGCAAUAUAGAUAUUAAAUAAUAAAUAAAAUAAAAAAUAAGAAUUAAAACUAAAAUAAUUAAAAGAGAGCUCAAGAGAAAACGCACUUUAAUCUGGUACCUGUACCCGUGGAUCGUGGCGAUGGCGGAUUGGGGCUUAUUACCAAGUCGUUUAAGAAUUUUAAACUUUCAAAUUUUUUUUAAACCUUGAAUUUUUUAGUUUAUUGGUUAAGUGAUAAAAUUUGGUGGUAGUUUGAUACUGUGUUGUAUGUUGUGUUAUUUUAGCUCAUUAACUUUGUUAUGUAAUUCUUCUUUAAAUACGACGUCGUUUUUGUCCAUUAAGAGUCCAAUGACAAGUUUAUCAUUCUGACAUGAGUAAAAUUCUAACGGCGUGAUGACAAUAGUGUAGAAAUGAUAGAUUUUGUAAACAUCAGGUGGAAUUGUUAAAAAAAAAAAUGUGGUCGUGUAUUUUUUAUAAAGUCUAAAACAUCAAGUGAUUAGAGAAUAUUUGUGCUUAAGUAUUUGAUUCAAAAAAAUUUCCACUCCUAGACUAUUUAAGUUGUAACCAAAACUGAGAAUUUUUUUUUUUUUUUGCAUGAUGAAUCUCGAUAUUUAGGAUGAAUAUUUUAAUAUUUAAGCUUAAUGGUCACCCACUAUUGGUAGAAGAAUUUUUAUUCUAACACUAUACAAUUUUCGUGUGAGGUGGUCUUGGGCUUAUCUCAACCUUAAAAGUCAAAAGCUAGCUCAAUAAGUGAGAUUUUUUUCUCACACUUAUGAAAUCACCACGAGCUCCUCCCACAACCAAUGUGGGAUAAUCCCAACAAUCUCCCCUCACUCAUCGAGCCUUGGGUUGGAAGCAUAAACAUCAAUUCUCCCUAUUAGAUUGUUGGUUGAGUUGUUGGUGAACCUGAGCUUUGAUACUAAUGUUAGAUGGUCUUGGGCUUCUCUCGACUUCAAAAGCUAGCUCAAAGAGAGAGAUAUUCCCUCACAUUUAUGAGGUCAUUAUCAGCCUCUUCCACAAUCGAUGUCGGCUAACCCGACAUUUCUCUCUCUAUAUAAUACAUAAGUUGGAUAAUAAAUUUAUAUCUCAAUCUAGGUAUAAACAUUAAUUUUAUUUCUUUUUAUCAAUCAUUAUCCUAUUGGGUCUAUCGACUCACCGUACAAAAUGUUGUAAAACUUCCCCGCCGAAGAGACUUUGGUAGCUUUGAGUUUGUAAAUCAAGUUCCUAUCCGUCGUCCCUCCUAAUCCAUUCUUCGGCCAAGUACGCCUGACAUUCUUGUACCUUACAACGUCAUAUUUGGCACAAAAUUCAUGAAACUUAAACCAAACACUAAACUAUUAUUAGUUCUCAACAUUUUAUAUCAUUCGACGUUUUGUGUCAGAAUAAAUAUUUUAUCUUUGAACUUCUCAAGCACUUAUUCAUGGCUUAUUUCUCAACUCACUAUGGAUUAAUGAUGCUGAUGAAAUUGUGGAUUAACCAGACAAUAUUGUAAUUAUUACACAUACACACAAGCACACGUACAUACGUACAAAAGCAUAUAGGAGUUGACCUUGCUCAGGAUUUAAAAAAAAUGAAUAAAAUUUUCCAAUAAUUAAUUAAGAUAAAAAAGAUCAUUAAAACCCGAGUACCCCUCGCAAUUGUGUCACUUGAAUUCUCUGUAUUUAUGCACAUAUAAUAUUUUGAAUGAAUCUAUAAUGAUGUUAAUUUUUUAAUGAACUUAAUCUUAAAUUAAAAUUUUCUUUUGAAAAAAAAGAAGAAAUCUUAAAUAUUAUAAAAUAUAGAUCAGUUGGAAAACUAUUCCUAGAAAUGCAUCUUAGUUUUAUUCUUGGAAAAUGUUUCCUUUCGCACUUGCGAGGAAUUAGAAAUUGAACAAUAAUUUUUAGACUUUUCAUUGUCUUUGUGGUUAUAUGGUUGUCUUUAAUAUAAAUAUAUGAUCCCGGAGGCCAAAUGUCUAAGUCACAUGCAUUUACCUAAUACUUUUUUCUUUUUUCUUUGUUUUUCGGAUAGGGCAAUUAUUUAAUACCUUGAAGAAAGAGAGAUAAAAUAUAAUGCAUGCCAAUUUGUUGCAACAAAGCUUUCAUAUCAAGCGUUGGCAUAAAUUAUUAUGCCAAUUUGUUCAAGACAAUAUCUUUAGUUGGCAUGUAAGUUUCAUUAGCCGGCGUCUACUCUUAAUUUAUGUCAAAUUAAGUAAUCGCUCCGCCCCAAUAAUGUUGCCUUUGAUCUCUCAGCCCCAGUAAAAGAAUUGGCUAAAAGAGAAUGUUGGUCACUGUUUAAGCAAGUAUGCUUUUGGCGGUCCUUUGAGGAUCUUCAAAAUUUAGAACUAAUAACCAAUCAAAUGAAAAAUUGCAUACAAGUGUAAAAGCUUACCCCUUAAUGCAUAGGUAAUAGGAAUUCUCUUGCUCAACAUAUACACCCUUUUCUUUAUAAUCUUUUACUUUUGCUCUUAAGCUAAAGCAUUAAAAGGCCCAAUAUCCACUCUUUAUAUAUAGUAGUUUCUGGUCCGGGAUCAUAAAGUGCGGGAAAUAUUCGGAAAAAUUUUAAAAUCGUGGGGUUUUAAAUGCUUAAAACUUAAAGUGCUUAAACUGAACGGUUAAUAUGUUUUCCUGGACGUUCCCGCAUUUUAAAAUUCCGGACUGUAACAUUUCUCUCUCUCUCUCUCUCUUUAUAUAUAUAUAUAUAUAUAUAUAUAUAUAUAUAUAUAUAGGGAGAAUGCCAAUUUCCCCCCAUAUUGUAAUCAAUUUAUAUCAUUUAUGUCCUACUCUUAUAUAAUAGCCAAUAACUCCUGGAUAGCAUAAUAUAACAAUAUUAUCUUUAAUUUUAAAUACACUUUUAUUUAUAUUUAUUAUAAAUUAAAUAAAACAUGUGAAUGAAAACUAAAAUAAAUAUUAAAUAUUAAAAACAAUAAAUAUAUGUUUUGAUGUGAAUAAAAAAUUAAUAGUAAAAUAUUUUUCUUGUACUUCUUUUAUUUACAAACAUUUUCUAAUAAUACAUAUAUAAGAAAAUUAUUAUAAAAUAAUUAUAAAUUAAUAUAAAUUAAUAAUAAAAUAGUAUAAAAUUAAUAAUAAAAUAUUUUUCUUGUACUUUUGUAUUUUAUAUAUUUAUUAUAAGAAAAUGUUUAUAAAACAAAAAUACAAAAAAAUUUAUUAUUAAUUUUUUUAUUCACAUCAAGACGUAUAUUUCUUGUUUUUAAUAAAUUUUUUUUUUACCAUUCAAUAUGAUUUGUUUAAUGUAUAAUAAAUAUGAAUAAAGGUGUAUUUGAAAAUAAAAAUAAUAUUGUAGGAAACAUUUACCAUUUUCUAAGAGAAGCUUAAGAGUGAGUAAAGGCUUGUUUAAACCAGAUAUUUUGAGCCAUAUAUUUUAAAAUACCUCAAGGCACCCUCAUUGUUAAAUAUGCUAUAUUUCUACUCUUACUUUUUCUUUCCUUUUAUAAUAUUACCCUUGCAACAAUAUUCUAACCUUUUUGAGGAUAUCAAUGAAAGAAAAAAAAUUAAUUUAUCAAAAUUUGCCUUAAAAGUAACAUAAAAAAUUCCACAAAUUUUUAUGUUAUUAUUUUACUUUUAGGAUUAAUUUGGUAAAUUAAUUUUUUAUAAAAUAACUAUUAGUAAAAUUGUUGCAAAUAUAUUAAACAUUUCUUUAAGUUGGAUAAUAUUGAUUUAUUUAUAAAUAAAUUAUUGGCAAUUAGUUCUUUCAUACUGAAAUUUAUUAGUUAAUUUGCUAAUCAAUAAUUAUUGGUUAAUACGCUAAUAAACUUUUAUAGAUAAAUUAAUUAAUGUCAAGAAUAUUAUUGCAAGGUAUUAUUAUAAAAGCAAAUAGAAAGUAAGUGCAAGAAUGUAAUAUAUUUAAUUAUAAAGGUAUUUUGAGAUAUUUUUGAAAUUAUAAGAACUAAACAAGCAUUUACCAGUUGAGAGAAGAUGAAAUGGGAAAAAUUCAAGGGUUAGGAUAUAUGAUGAGUUAAGGAUUAGGUCUUGUAAAAUCUUGAUUUGGGGAGAUGAUUUUGGAGUGUUUCAACCCUAAAUUCAUUUGGGAAGACUCAUUGACGUACACAUUAAAGGUGGAAAGUGUAGAGAGAGAGAGAAGGAGAAAGUGUGUGUUUAGAGUGAGAGAUGUGUAAUUCAAGUAAACAAGUUGGAUACUUGGAUUUCUCACUAAAUAGAGUAAGAUUUCCAUCAUUCUAUCAUUAUUUAUGCUAAAUUUAAUUUAAAGAUUUGUUUAUUUUAUUUAAAUUAAUGUUUCCAACAUAUGGUAAAGUGGUACGAAGAUAAAUUUUGUAAUUUGUGGAUUACUUUAGGUGCACACAGCACCAACAAGGCAUUGUAGAGCCAAAAAGACUUAGCACUUGAUGUUUCUGGUUCGAUAUAUAAAUAGCUAAUAAUUGUGUAUUAUGUUUAUGUAGUUUAUGGUUAGUAAUGAGAUUGGUGGUAAUGUAGCUCUAUAAUUAACUAUUUAUUUCCAAAACUAAGGAACUUCAUAUCGUAUUUUCUUCCAAAACUAAGGAGCUUCAUAUCAUGUAUUUCAUUAAAAAAUAGUCUCACUCUUAGACUUUAUGAGUUGCUGUGAAAAAUAAAUGAUGAUAAAUUUUCAUACAAAUUUAUUUUUAUAAAUUGAUACGACAUUAGUUCAUUGGUUGCAUGAAAUAUAAAAGCAGGUAGCAGUUGGUCCUUUGAGGAUCAUAAAAUUUAGAACCAAUCGGUCUAAAAAUUGCAUGCAAGUGCAAAGGUCUGCUCUUGUUGCAAAGGUAAUAGAGAAUCUCUUAUUCUCUAAAAGAGUAGUAGAAGAAUAGAAAAGAAUUCUAGAUGGUGAUAUGUGGAAGCUAGAAGAGAUAAGGAAAGGUCUUUUGGCUCCUUUAUUGUUGAGUUAUAUUGCUAUGCCAUCCAUGGUAAAAUGAUUUUUCUCAUAUUGUGCUGUCUUUUCAAAAGACUACAACAUGUAUAAAGAGGAACUAAUUACCCUAUGGAUGACUUAAAGUUACCUUAGUAUAACUAAUUACCCGGCGUCGGAGGGUUUACACCGGGAAAACACUCGGCGUGCUCUGACUUGUCUCUGUGUACGCAGGAGUUUGCGGAGAAGAAGCCUUACGAGGAGAGAUCCUGAUCGUGGUCGAGUUGGUUGAGGAGAGAGCUUGGUCGUGGUCGAGCAGGGAACCAAAAUCUCGCAUCAACACAGUUUCUGUUGCAAUUGUAUUGGCCUGGGUUUAGGGAACUGUCAACUUUCAGAAGAAGAUGGAGUUUCUCAAACCAAAUCUAAGAAGAUAUCUCACAUUCCCCACAUGGUCUCAACGCACAGGUAAGUUCUUCUCUAGCUCUGUUUUUCAUUGUUUGUUAUUUUUAAUGUAACUAAGAAGCAGAGUUAAUCUCUUAUCUUGUCCUUGCUUUGAGAAAACCUGCUUUUACAUCUAUUUUUAAUUCACAUGUCCACAGUAAUUUCAUUUUAGUUUGAGCUGAGUGAUAACUGUUCAAGGCUCACUUACUCAUUGGGAGAAGCUGCAUGACGCAGGCUGCAAGGAUUUAGAUUUUCAUUCGAAGGCUCACUUACUCAUAGUGUGCAUGUUUCGUUACGAUUAAAAUGAUUAGUCUCUUGUUCUUAAGUAUACAAUUUCCAAUGGAUUUGAUAGAGCGGUCAUCAACCAUAUUGAUGUUAUUGGAGUAGCACUGUUCUUAAGCACUGCUUUGAGGUCUCUCCCUCUCUAUAUACAUUGAUAGACUAUUCUGGUCGUACCAAAUUAUCCUUGUUUUAUUGUUUUGUUUGUUAAACUUUGACUGGGGGAAUCUGUUUAUUUGUCUGAUAUGAUGUUAGUGUGGUUUCGAUUGAAGUGUGUUGAUCUAUCACCAAGUAUUAUUUCAAUUUUUCUUUACCUAAUCAACUUGCAUACUUUCCAAGUCUAGAUCCUUAACAAUAGUGAGACUCCGCUACAGAAGUACGAUUUCUCUAGUUUUGUAGUUAAAUACGUAAGAAUAGUUUUAAAUUAACAGAACUCUGAGAUAGUUCUCUGAGGAAAUACAAGUGGUGAAUAUGGUUCCAACUUUUAAGUGCCUUAAGAUUCCCAUUUGUUCAGCCCUGUGCGUAAACAAUCAGUAAUUUCUGUCCAAAUUCUUCUUUAAUGCCUAUAUGUGUUGGACUUUGUCUACUGUUCAACUUCUCAAAUGGAUUCCAUGCAGGGUUUUGAAUGUCCAAUUAGGAGAAAGAUCAAGGCUUGCUUGGCUAGGAGUGGAAGCGGAUCCACUACUUCAGUCAGAUGACCUUUUGAAGAAGGCUUACAACAGGCCGUCUCAGGAUGUCAAUGGCUCAACUCAAAAGUCCCCAAAGUGGUUGAUAUCGAAGAAUGCCGUUGUCUCUGGGCUUGGGCUCCUUGGCAUCAAACAAGGGAAUGUCGACUCUGUUGAAGGGGAAGCAAGGGCUCCUAAAGUGCGAAGAAAGAGGAUAGGCCGGAAGAAGGUGACCGCAUAAAUUUCUUGGGAGUUGAUCCUAGUCAAUAGCCCAAUUUUUUUGUCAAAACAUUGGUCCCGAUUCCAGCAAAACAGUAACUUCCAUUCAAAAGGGUUCAGCGUUGAGUGCAUGUAAUCUGCACAAGUUUGACAAAAAAUAACCGAAAAAAAAAAAAGAAACCCACGUCCAAAGAUGCCGUUGAAAAAAGUUAUUGGGUAUUCAUAAUAAAAUAAACAAAUAAAAAAAUGAAUAAAAAUUUAAAUACUUAAUUAAUUUUUAUCAAAUUCUUAUCAAAUAUUUAAAAAAGUAUAUAAAAUGAAUUAAUUGAUGGUAUUAUUAAUUUUCAUGAUGAUUUUUAAUAUUAUAUUAGUGAUUAGUAAGUUUAAUACAAUCAAUAAUGCAAGAAAUUAUUAAAUGGUUAAUUUUAUUGGCAAAUUUUAUCAAAUACGCAAGUAAUGAAAAAUUAAUCUCAAGAGUUAGUAGAAGUAAAGUUCUAAUUUAACCAGAUGAUAGAUAAUAAAUACAAAUAAAUUUUAAGUAAAUCAUAAAUUAAAAAUAAAUAAAUUAAUUAAUAUUAAGUAUAAAUAAAAAAUAAUGACAUAAAUUAAAGUCUCAUAAAUGGAUAACUUUUUUUCUUUAAUCUUAUCCUAAGUCCCAACUAAAGGAAUGUGUAAAUUAGGAUUAUUAAUCCCAUAAUUUUAGGAUUAAACUUAAAUUUAGUCCCUUAGUCCAAUUCAAUUAAGCUUACCAAAUAUGAUAUAAAUAUAUAAUCACAAAAUUAGUCCAAUUCCAUACUUAAUCCUAGUAUUCGAACAUGGCCGGAUAAAAUAGUUUAGAUAAUAUACUUCUAUGGCUCACAAUUUAAAUAAAUUUGAGAAUUUAAAUAAGGGAUGGAAAAUUCACAAUAAUCAUACCAUGUACUGUCUUUUCUUCCUUUUCUUAAUUAAAUAAAAGAAAAAAAAUUAAUGACAGAACCACUGCUGUGUGAUAUCGAUGAAGUCGCAUUCGCCUACCUAAUAUUGCGCAAUCAGAUAGAAAAAAGGGUCGGCUGCAUGAUUUUUCCAACUUUUGUCUUAUUUUUCUCUUUUCCACUACAAAUUAAUUUGAGAAUGUUAUAUUUUCCAAUUCUCUUUUUGUCGUGACAUAAUAGACUAAAGCGGAAUCACAUACUUUUUCAAAUGACCAAAUGGCUUUGGCCUACCUGAUAAUAAAAGGAAUGGAUCCAUACGUUAAAGCUAAAUUGAAAAAUAUAAUAAAUAAAUUGUCAGGAGAUGAUUUUAUCAAAAAUUUCACUCGCACGGUCCCGACCAAAUACAAAUUUGUGAUGAUAUUCAUAAUGAAUUUAUACCAUUAGGCGAAAUUACUCUAUAUAGUUUCAUCGAUAUAUAUUAUACCAUUACAAAUAUACUAAUAUUUAUAAUAAAAAAAAUUUAUGACUAUUUUAAAUCGACUGUAUUAUAUGUGAAUUCACAAGAUUCAUAGAUAGAUUGCACUGAGCUUUUUGUUGCAGUUUACAAAUAUUUUGUUACUAAUUAUCUUAAGAGCAGCAAGUAACUAAAUACAAAUGUAAGAAAUUUCACAAGUGCUGAUGCUGUGUACUCUGCAGAAUUAAUAAUGGAUUAUUAUGAAUCAGAGAAACAGGGCAGACGCUGUACAAUUAUUGACGUGGUGGAGCAGAAAGCUAGCCCCACAUGGUGACUCCUUUAAUUUGCAGCACAAAAGAACGUUCACAUUGACAUUGACUCGAGGGUAAAAAGAAUGCAAACAUGCUUGAAUGAACAUUCUCACAGAAUACAUAAAAGCAAGAAAAGCAAUUGCAGCAUUUUCCAUUUGAUCUAAUAUCAGAAUGGCUCUUGCGAUCGUUUGCGCUCUCUUGGACCAGCUGAAUUCCAUUGCUCAAGAAAAGUGGAGGCUUUUGACGGGUGUCGAACAAGAAGUGGGAAAGCUUACUACCAAUCUUCAAGCCAUUCAAGCUGUGCUGGAAGAUGCAGAGCAGAGGCAAAUGAAGCAGGACAGAGCUGUUACUCUUUGGCUGGAUCAGCUCAGAGACGCAUCCUACGACAUGGAAGAUGUGUUGGAUAAGUGGAUCACUGAAACACGGAAAUCGCAGCUUGAUGAGGGCGGCGAUGAUGAAGAUGAUGAUAACGACAAUGCUUUUGUUACUCUUUUGACGAAGGUAUGUUCCUUCUUUCCUGCUGCCUCAAACUGCUUUGGUUGUUUCAAACAACUCAGUCUUCGUCAUCAUAUUACUGUCAAGAUUAGAGAAAUCAGUAAAAGGCUAGAUGAUAUUGCCAGACAAAAAGAUAGUUUCAAAUUUGUUGAGAAUGUGAGUAACAAUGUUAAGAAACCAGAGCGAGUGCGAACCACCUCCUUGAUUGAUAAGGGAGAGGUUUUUGGUAGAGUUGAUGAGAAAAAUGAGCUCUUAAGCAAGUUGUUGUGUGACAGUAGUGAACAACACCCUCAUAUCAUCUCAUUGGUUGGGUUCGGGGGUAUAGGCAAAACCACUCUUGCACAACUAGCCUAUAAUGAUGAUGAGGUGAAAAUAAAUUUUGAAAAAGUUAUAUGGGCGUGUGUAUCAGACACUUUUGAGGAGAUUAGGGUCGCCAAAGCAAUCAUUGAAGGUCUAGGCGAGUCAAAAAAAGCUUCUGGUUUAAGCGAAUUCCAAUCUCUUAUGAGCCAUAUCCAUAGAUCAAUUGGGGGAAAAAAAUUUUUUCUUGUCUUAGAUGAUGUAUGGGAUGGGGAUUCCAAUAAAUGGGAUCCAUUCUUCUUUUGUCUAAAGAAUGGUCUCCACGGAAGUAAAAUUUUGGUUACCACACGUAAUGAGUCAAUUGCACGUAUGAUGGGAACAACAGAGUCAGAUACUAUCUCCAUUGAACAACUGGCUGAAGAGGAAUGCUGGUUGUUUUCCAAGCAGUUAGCAUUUUUCGGUCGCUGUUUCGAGGAUUGUGAAAGAUUAGAACCAAUCGGGCGAAAAAUUGCACGCAAGUGCAAAGGCCUGCCUCUUGCUGCAAAGGUAAUAGGGAAUCUCUUGCGCUCUAAAAUUACAGUAAAAGAGUGGCAAAGAAUGUUAGAUAGUGAAAUGUGGAAAUUAGAAGAGAUUGGGCAAGGUCUUUUGGCUCCUUUGUUGUUGAGUUAUAACGAUUUGCCCUCCAAUUCGAUGGUAAAACGGUGUUUCUCAUAUUGUGUUGUCUUUCCAAAUGACUACAGUAUGAAUAAAGAAGAAUUGAUUAGUCUGUGGAUGGCUCAAGGCUACUUUAACGCAGAAGAAGACGAAGAAAUGGAGAUGAUUGGAGAAGAGUAUUUCAACAUAUUAGCAGCACGCUCUUUCUUUCAAGAGUUUAAAAAAGAUUAUUUCAAUGGUGAUUUUAUGUGGUGUAAGAUGCAUGACAUAGUACAUGAUUUUGCCCAAUUUAUAAGUAGAAAAGUAUGUCUGUGGCUAGAAAUUGAUGGUACCAAAGAAUCAGUCAUAAACUCUUUUGGUGACAAAGUCCGUCACUUAGGGUUAAAUUUUCAAGGAGGAGCUUCAUUUCCUAUGUCCAUUCAUGGACUUAAUAGAUUGCGUACCCUCUUAAUUUAUGAUAGAAGUCAUUUCAUUCCAUCUCUUAGUAGUAGCAUCCUUUCGGAGUUAUUUAAUAAAUUGGUGUGUUUAAGGGCAUUAGUUAUAAGGCAAUUUAACCUUUAAGUUUGCAUCCUGUGCCAGAUAGGAUUAGAGAAAUUCCAGAAAAUGUUGGAAAAUUGAUACAUUUAAAAUAUCUUAAUUUGAAUGGACUAUGUAUAAAGAGACUACCUGAGACUUUGUGUGAAUUAUAUAAUUUACAAAAGCUAGAUAUUAGGUGGUGCCGAAAUCUUAGAGAAUUGCCUGCGGGGAUUGGGAAGUUAAUGAACAUGAGGAGUUUACUGAAUUACGACACUCGUUCGUUGAAAUACAUGCCAAUAGGGAUUUCCAGAUUGACCAGCCUUCGAACAUUAGAAAAGUUUGUUGUGGGUGGAGGUGUUGAUGGCGGCAGCACGUGUAGGCUUGAAUCUUUGAAAAAUCUUCAACUCCUUCGUGAAUGUCGAGUAGAAGGGCUGAGUAAUGUAUCGCAUGUAGAUGAGGCUGAGAGGUUACAACUUUACAAUAAGAAAAACCUCCUUCGUUUGAAUCUCAAGUUUGGUAUAGCCGUAGAUGGGGAAGGCGAAGAAGGGAGGAGGAAGAAUGAGAAAGAUAAACAACUUCUUGAAGCCUUACAACCGCCUUUGAAUGUAGAGGAAUUACGGAUUUUGUCCUACGGAGGCAACAUGUUUCCCAAAUGGUUGACUUUGCUAACCAAUCGAAGGGAACUAAGGAUUGAUUUUUGUGAAAAUUUGCAAGAACUGCCAAUUCUAGAAGAUUGCAGGACAACAGACAUACCGCAUCUUUCUUUCUUGAUUAUUCAGAAUUGCCCCAAAUUAAAGGUGCUGCCGGAUUACCUUCUUCGGACGACGACGCUGCAGAAAUUGACAAUUUGGCGAUGUCCCCUUUUGGAAAACCGUUAUAGAGAGGGGAAAGGAGUAGACUGGCAUAAGAUAUCUCACAUUCCCCACAUCAAGUUGUCGCUGUGGAUGCCGUAAGAUAUCACUGGACGGUAAUUUCUCCUCCUCUGAUAUACUUCGUUGUUGCUUGCAAUGAAAUUAAUAAAAAUAAUUAUAUUUUGAAUUAAAAUUCUAUAUAGAAUCAAUCUUGGUAUAAAUAUGUAAAACUUCCUAGUUAUCAAAUCUGUUAGACUUGUUUUCUAUAUUUAUUUACUUUAAAAAAAUAUGUGCUCUUUUGUAAAAUUUGAUACAACAUCAUAGAAAAUCCCAAUGUAAUUUAUUUUUUAAUGUACGAAAAUUUGUUAUGUGUGACGUCCUGAGUGACAAAAUCUCCUUGAUACAUUUGCAGUAAUGUCGAAAACUAAAUUAUCAAUUUUAUCUUGUAUAAUGAUAAUCUUAUUUUUUUAUAUAUAAUUUACGUGACAUUAAUUCUUUAAAGUAAUUGUGUAAUUGUUUUUACUACAUUAGCCCACUUUGUUUUUUUUCAUACUUGUUUAAUUAUGUUCACCAGGGAUUCGAGGAAAUGUCAGAACUACACUAGCAAUUCACAGGUCCAAGCUAAUUUGGUUUUAAUGAUGCAGGCAGGAGAGCAAGACUAUGAAAAUGAAAAGUUUAGCCAAAGGAUUGCUAAAAUGUUCUGCUGGUAAUUCCCUUGCUUUAUUUUAUAGAAUUUCAUUUCUAUCUUCUUCUAUUGAUAUCUUGUUGUGAAUAAACAAGAACAGAGAGUAAAUGAUUGAACCACAGAGAAGUAAAGUAAUAUCAAAAUUCGCUAUUAUGAUGAUUUUAAAGCAAGCUCAAGCUCAAGCUUGCAUUUUUAUUUUAUUUUAUUUAUAGAACUUCCAUUUCCACCUGCAUUUCAUUUUUAUUAGACUCUAUGGAGCACAUUGGGGUAACCAAGGAUUAUCACUGUCGUUAUUGUGCAACGUUGGGUUGCUGGACUUUGAAGAAGGAAGCGAUGGCCGGGUCUGCUCUGUUUCAAUUGAGGAUGGAUAGCUGCCUGAAAGACAUGAUGAUUAUUAUUGCAUGAUGUUAAGGUGCUGAGAUCAUCAUUUCUAUCUUGUUUCAUUCUUGGAAUCGUUUAUCAUAUGCGUCAAUGGAGGCAGGUAUUUGGUGUUGACACUAUUAUGCAGGUAACCACACUUGAUAAUUUGCACAAAUUUGCGUUGUCAGAAUACCCUUUAAUAUUCAUUGUGUUUCUUUGUGUUAUCAGGUUAUCAUCUCCAAGGGUUUGAAAGAGCCUUUGCAGUUGUCAGAAUACCCUUUAAUAUUCAAUUAGGUACGUUUUGGUGCGGUCUCCCAAUGCUAAUAUCAUAUUUUGUAUAGCAAUUAAAAUUUAGCUAUACAAUUUUAAUAUGCAAUAAAUCAUUGUAUACAAAGUUUUUUAUUAAUUAUAUGGUGACUGAAAUUUUAAUUAUCAUAUCAAUUUAAAUUUUUUUGUAACUCUCUUUUACUUUGCUUGUACAGAGUACCUGUUUUGGCUGAUAUGUCUAAUUCGUAGAAAUUUAUUUCCAUCGGUUUCCAUUGGCUUUAGCACAAACAGAAACAGAGCUCUGGGGAAAAGUUUGACUUCUUGUGGUAUUAUGCCUUUGUUUCUUCAUUCAUCAUAUUUUUCGAAUUCAUGCUCUCAUUCAGAGGGUAAAGCCUUUUCAUGGCUGCUUUGUAGCCAAACUUUGACGCCAUUGAUGCAUGACUGUCAUUUAGAUUUUCCAAUAACGGUUAGAUUGGAGAAGAAUAAGAAGAUAUUGUUAAAAGGGUAUUUAAUUAGCGCCGUCUGAAUUUAGUUGCCAAUAAUGCAUUGAAAUAGUUGGGGAAAGUUAUUGUCUUAAUUAAAUUACAGGUGAUAAGAUGCUGCCUCAAUUUUGUAAGCAUCUCGUAUUGAGAAGAUUAAUUGUUGACAAGCCAAAUUUUAGGCAAAUUUUACCGUGAUUCUUGACAUCAUGGUAACACAGGUCAAAUUUUAGUAUCAAGACAUAUCUUCUUCUUUACUGUUCUGCCUCUAAAUAUUAAACUUUAGGCAAGUUGUUUUUGUUUGUGUAAGUUAUCAGGUUAAGGAUACCAAGCAGCUUAAUUGUUCACCACACCUGGUAGGAAUGAUCGCCAGGAAGAUUAAUUGUUGACAAGCCAAUUUUAUCAGUGUUAGAUUUUUUGCCUCCCUUUGAGAGAUAUCAUCAUCAAAUUUGUGUAGAGAAUCUUUGAAGAGAAUUUUGUUGUGAGAGUUUCACUGUAGUGAAUUUUGGGAGCUUGAACUCACUUGAGUGAGAUAAUAGAGUGUAUUGGGGAUUUGGGUUAUGAGUAAUCGUUAUCCUUCCAAUAUUUGCAAGCUCUUACUUGUUAGUAAAAUCAUCUUCGUAUAUUGACUCUGUUUCUUUGUUCCUUAUUUAAUUAGUUUCGAUUAUCAUAAUUAGUCACUCAUUCUGAAUUUUUCUAAUUUUAAAGUUCCUUAGGUCCGCCACCAGUUUUUCAAGUCUGCAUAUGGCUGCAAAAGAUCGAUGGUCAUAAAAUUAUCUUGAGCCUUGAGGCAUUGCGUUCGAGCUCACACUGUAACAGAGAUAAAGAUAAAGAAGACAGUAGAAGAUGCUCUAAACAUAACAAAAGUAUAUUUCUACGUCUUGUGGUUGCUUUAAUUUACUUUUGUUUCUUCUGUCAUCAUAUUUGAUUAAUUCGUUCGAAUUCACACUCUCACAUUAUUUAAAACUAUUUGUAGGUGGCUUGCAAGCUAGUUACGUUAAUGCAAAAACAAUACUCUAGACAAAGAUGAGCAAAUUAAAGGUGAUAAAUGCAAAUUGAAUGUCCAUGAAUAAUUGUUAGGCCGGUGCUGAUAAAUUGCUUCAAAGCAAGCAGCAUCUUCUGCUGCGAAGGCUUUCCCCACAUGAUAUGUUGUGAUUGUUACCGGCCCCGUAUUUAUUAACUCAGGUCAGUAUUAUCUUCUUCAUCAUUUUGGCUAUAUAUAAAGAUUAAAAUUUUGAACACUUGUCUCGGUUUCUUGUGUAAUCAGGCUAAUAGAGCAAAUGUUUACUGUCUAAGCACUAAUGCGACAAUCCCAUCUGUAAAUUUGGGCCAUCUUUGAUGUCUGACAGGUAAGCUGUGACAAUCCCAUCUGUAAGUACUAAUGCGCUUGGUUAUAGUGCUUUCAUUGGACUAUAUGCAAACAUGAGAUAUCAACUAUUGUGUGGAUUUGAUAGAGCGGUCACCAACCAUUUUGAUGUUAUUGGAGUAGCACUGUUCUUAAGCACGGCUUUGAGGUCUCUCCGUCUCUCUUUUACGUAUUUGUCUAUUGAUCGACAUCUCUAUAUAUACAUUGAUAGACCAAAUUACUCUUGCUUUAAUGUUAAUGUGGUUCCUAUAAAAGUGUAUAUAAAUCUAUCACCUCAAAGUCUGAUUUCAAUUUUCCUUUACUUAAUCAACUAGCAUCCUUUCCAAGUCCAGAUACUUACCAAUAGUGAGACUUUGCUACGGAAGUACAAUUUCUCUUGUUUUAUAGUUAAGUAUGUAAGAAUAGUUUCAAAUUUACAAAUUUCUGAUAUAGUUCUCUACGGAAAUGCGAGUGGUGAAUAUGGUUCCAACUUUUAAUAGGCUUAAUUGGCCCAUUUGUUCAGCCACAGUGAUUGCGGUCUGAAUUCUUCUUUACUGUCUCUAUGUGUUGGAGUUUGUCUAUUGUCCAACUUCUCCAAUGGAUUCCAUGCAGGGUUUUGAAUGUCUAAUUAGGAGAAAUCAACGGAUGACCUUUUGAAGAAGGCUUACACAACAGGCCAUCUCAGGAUGUCAUGGCUCAGCUCAAAAGUCCCCAGGUGGUUGAUACCAAAGAGUGCCAUUGUUUCUGGGCUUGGGCUCCUUGGCGUCAAACAAGAUAAUGGGAAAUAGGGGCAACUAAAGCGCGAAGAAAGAGGAUGGUCUGGAGGAAGGUGUCUGCAUAAAUUUGUUGGAGUUGAUGUAGUCAAUUGCCCAAUUUUGCUGCCUGUCGAAGAGACACAGCAUGGAAGUCCUCAUCAAACUCUGAGACACCUAAGAAAUAGUAUGAGGUGGUGGUAUUCCCCUGGUGUUAAUUUCCUGGCAAGUGUGGUUCACAGAUAGAGGGAUUCUUUUCUUGAUGUCUAAAUACCAAAUGUGAUGCAACGUCGUAUAUUCUAAGAUAUUAAAUUCUAUUUCAGAUUUCUCAUAUAGUGUCGUUGUCACUUCUGUGGUACACUUUUGAUCGCAAAUUUCCAUUUGAAGUAGCCGAUAUUCUUUACAGACUAAUUAUCUAAUGAUUAUUUUGUACAAAAAAAAUCAAAACUUUAAUUAUUUGAUCAUACUCAACUUAGGUCUUAUUCGAUAUUACUAGUUGUUAAUGUGUAAUAAAUGUAUGACUUUUAAAUAAUAAUUUUAAUAAAAAUAAUAAAGAUAUUAUAAGUUUUUUUUUAUAAUAAAGUAUGAGAUCAAAUCAAAUUAAUUUUGAAGUCACAAUAGCAAAUGUUUACCAAAACUAUUUAAUUAUAUGACUUAAAAGAUAUAGUUGUCCAAUCCCAACAAUAUAUAUAAAGAUUUACCAAACUUUACCCGACUUUAGUUGUACCCACUUGAUUAUGUAAGUCCAUUCUCCACGCGCUUGACCAUAUGAGAUGUUACUCAACUUUAACAAAUCUUACUUAAACUUUGCACGUUUGACAUGUUGGAUGAAAUAUAGCAUAUGAUGUGAUAGAAUACAAUAGGAAUGGUUGUAACAAGAUUAUAAUUAGUACUAGUUUGUAUUUUAUGUGAUGUAGAACGCAUUAUAUUACAACUUUUAGUGUUAUACUAAUUAAAAAUUUGAAUUAUUUUAUUAUUGUAAAAAUUUAAUAUCUUAAAUAACAGUUAUUUUAAUUAAGUAUUUUUGUUGCAAUGAAUUAUACUUUUUUAAAUAUAAUUGAAAAUUCUUAUUACUAAACUAAUAAAAAAUUAAUUAUUUGAGUUAUCUCCUAAACUACUUAGCUUACGAGAUAAAUUCACUUUGUUUAGAAUGAAACGGAUUACAUUUAGUACUAUUUUGUAUUUUAUGUGACGUAGUGUAUGAUUCAAUUAUAUUACAAAUUUUAUUGUAAUAAAAAAAUUUUGAAUUAUUUUAUUAUUGUAAAAAUACAAUAUCUUAAAUAACAAUUAUUUUUAUUAAGUAUUUUUUAAUGAUUUAAAAUAUAAUUGUAAAUUCUUAUUAUUAAACUAAUAAAAAAUUAAUUAUUUGAGUCAUCUCCUAAACUACUUAUUUCACGAGAUAAUUUCACUUAGUUUAGGAUGAAACGGUGGGUUAUUUUUAUGUGGGAGCCACAUCCUUUCCAUAUGAGAUGUUACUCAACUUUAACAAAACUUACUCAAACUUUGCACGUUUGGCAUGCCGGAUGGAAUAUGAUAGUAUAUGAUGUGAUAGAAUAUUAUAUGAUUAGAUGUAAUAGGAUUAUAUUUGGUCUUGUUUUAUAUUUUAUGUGAUCUAGUAUAUGAAUGGAUUAUAUUACAAAUUUUAUUGUUAUAAUAAUUAAAAUUUUGAAUUAUUUUAUUAUUGAAAAAAUAAAUAACAGUUAUUUUGAUUAAGUUUUUUUUUUCUGUUGAAUUAUAGUUUUAAAAUAUAAUCCAAAAUUUUUAUUACUAAACUAAUAAAAAAUUAAUUAUUUGAGUUAUGUCCUAAACCAACUUAGCUCACGAGAUAAAUUCACUUAUUUUAGAACGAAACGGCGGGUUUUAUGUGGGAAGCCACAUCCUUUCCAUAUCAACCUCAACAUCCAAACAUGAAAUUGGACUAAGAAUAGUUCUUUCCCAUGUAUUUACGUACCCUCCUGCCACUAAACGUAAUUGUAUAUUUUGGACCUUAUUUGACUUGAUUUUAUUAACUUAAUUUUCUCCAAUUUCCAUUGUCGACGUUGAGUGCAUGUAAUUAAUCCACAAGUUUUGAUUGAGCAGAAAUAGCCAAAAAAAACUGAUGAUAUGAUAAUAGCAAAAAAUCUAAUGACACCCACGUCCAAAGAUGCCGUUGUCACAAAGGCCUGGACGCCAUACCUCGAACCCAUCCCCUUUUACCAUGAGUGAUGAUACAGCCACAAACUCUUAUACAAACUUAUUUUAUACAAACUAAUGUGACAUCAAUUCAAUGGUUGAAUGAAAAUAUAAAAUAAUGAAAGUAAAUCAUGUGGGCCAAGAGAUAUUUAAUUUAACCAAUAAAUUGACGCCACAUAAGUUUGUACAAAAUAAAUUUGUAUAAGAGUUUGUGGCUGUAUUACUGUAUUAUUACUCUUUUACCAUAUUUUAUAAUUAAAGAGGUCAUUGUUUGAAAGAAAAGAAUGACAUGUUGGUAUGAAAUUACGUUAAAAUGAAUAUAUCACUUUUUUUUUUGUGUGAGUGAUGGCUUCGUUUAAUGACAAUUGGCAGACAAUGAAUCAUCUUUUAAUUUUAGUUUUGAUUUAAUAAAAAAUAUUAAUUUUUGUAGUUUCGGUAGAUGAAAUUUCGAAUCAAAUAUUAAUAUCGUUAAAGUACGCAACUCAAUAUUUACUUAAAUCAGAAAAAAGAUUAAUUGCUUUACAUGAAAAAGAAAAGAAAAGAAAAGAGUGAUCACUUGAUUUAACUUCCUUUACUAAAUUUACGAUUUAAAAUCUAAAAUGGAAAAAGGAAAACAAGUUUUGGAAACACACUCGGAGUUUUAAAUUGAUAUGAAAAAAGAGUUUAUUAUUGACAAUCUUUUUCCCAAAAUUUAAGCUAAGACAACAAUAUGUCCAAAAUACCCUCCACAUUAUCCCAAAACUUUAUAAACUCCCCCGUUCCUCUCAACAUCAUCUCUUCCAAAUCUUUCUUCCCCCCAAAAACCAGCCAUGGCUUCAUAUUCAAUUACCUCAACACUCCAAUAUUGGCUUGUAAACCACCCCCAAAUCCUCAACUUCACAUGGACUCCGAACCAAACACUAGCUUCCUCCCCACACUUCCUCAUUCUCUCCAUCCUCACUUACCUCUCCCUCACAUUCAUCCUCUACCACGCAUCAACAUCAACAUCACCACCUCUCAUUGGACCCCACAUCCUCAAGCCCAUCACAGCCGUCCAUAACCUCACCCUCUUCGUCCUCUCCCUCAUCAUGGCCGUUGGUUGCACUCUCUCCAUCAUCCUCCAUUUACCCUACCUCCGUUACACCCUUUGUUUCCCCACUACCAUUUCUCCGUCUGGCCCUCUCUUCUUCUACGCUUACAUCUUCUACCUCUCCAAAAUACUCGAAUUCUUUGACACCCUUUUGAUCAUUUUAUCAAACUCCAUCCAACGGCUCACGUUCCUCCACGUCUACCACCAUCAACCGUCGUUGUAAUGUGCUUCCUUUGGUUACAGACGAAGCAGUCUUUGUUUCCUAUUGCAAUUGUCACCAAUGCAAGUGUGCAUGUGAUCAUGUACGGGUACUAUCUAUUGUGUGUGAUGGGGUUGCGGCCAAAGUGGAAGAGAUUGGUCACUGAUUGUCAGAUUCUUCAGUUUGUGUUUGGUUUUGCUGUUUCGGUUUUGAUGCUGUAUUAUCAUUUCACGGGUUUUGGUUGCUCUGGGAUUUGGGGAUGGUGCUUCAACGUUGUGUUUAAUGCGUCCCUUUUGGCACUUUUUGUUAAUUUUUAUUCCAAGAGCUAUGCUAAGAAAAAGAAGCAGGGAUGAUCAAAGUGCUAUGAUUGUUUUGUGUUUUCUUUUUUAAUUUAUUUGAUUUUGGUUAAUUAUGAAUGGUGGUAAUUGGUUGAAUGCAAUUGAAGAGAUGCUUUCAGUUGCCUAAACUUUGUUUUUUCAAUUUUUGUUAUAGAUGUCAUAUGUCACCACAUUUUUUUAGUCUCUCCCUUUAAAAUUCCCUCACACAAACUUCGGAUUUGUAUUUUGUAAACUAGAAUUUUUCAUUUUCGUUAAUGUGUUAGCUGUUAUUAUCUACAAUUAUGUCAUACGACACACAUGUCACAUCAACUAAAAUUAGAUUAUGAAUUUUGGGCACAGGGCCAAGUCCCACCGUUUGGUAGGAAAUAAGUGUUGGAUCAUAAACUUGAUCCAAGAUAAAUAAAUUCAACCUUAACUCAUGGAAGGUUCCAUGAGUAGGUAUGGUUAGUGAGGUUUGAAUUAUUUGUGUUAGGUGUGGUAGGUGUGGUUGGUGAAGUAGGUGAGUGGUAGGUUUUAAUGGAUGGUGAGUAUUUGUGUAUUAGUUGAAUAAAUGAAUGGUUGUGAUUAGUUUGUUUCAUGGAUAAAUACCCCCUCUCCCCUUUGGUUUAAAUAUCAAGUGAAAUAACAAAAUCUCUAAGGUGUAGAGAGUGAAAAAUAAGAGUUGUAAUUAGUGAGGAGUGUUGUUGAAGAAAUAAAAUAGUGUGUUUUAUUUGUUAACUCUCCAACAAAGUGGUAUCAAAGCUAGUGCUUGAUGCUAUAUAUUGUCAUAUAGCAUAUCAAAUCGAAGAUCUCGAUGAGAGGAACGUGACGCCGCAAAAAUCAUCCUGACCAAAGACCAGACGCGCCCAAGCUCGCCGUCAGAAUUUUUCUGUCCUGAAGCUGAGUCGACUCACCGAGUUGAACCAACCUGAGUCGAGCCGAACUGAACCGAAUCAAGUCGAACCAAGCCAACUGGAGUUGAACCAAUCCGGACCGAACCAAGACUACUAAGCCAACGCUGACCGUUGACUGAAAGUUGACUCAAGUUCUUCCCAAGGCUUUUCGACGUGCCGGAUCCAUCUGUGCUUUCAGAAUCUCCAAAUUCUCACUCAAUUUGUGAGUUAUGGAAAACGGUGGUCUGAUGUCAUUUCAAGUUCCACAAUUAAAGAGAAGUAAGUUUGACAAUUGGAGUAUUAAAAUGAAGGCUCUAUUGGGUGCACAUGACGUAUGAGAUAUCAUGGAAAAAAAGCUUUAUUGAGCCAGAAAAUGAAGCCACUUUAACUGCGGCAUAGAAUGAGAAUUUAAAAGACUUGAAGAAGAAAGAGAAUAAAGCAAAGUAUCUCAUCUUUCAAUCAUUAGAUGAAGAUGCCUUUGAAAAGAUUGCUGGUAAAACGUGAGAAACUAGAGACCUCUUACAAAGGAGCGAAGAAAGUUAAGAAGGUUCAUCUCCAAAUAUUCCGAGGAGAAUUUGAGUCCUUACACAUGAAGGCGUCGGAGUCAAUUUCUGAAUACUUUACUUGGGUUGUGACCAUUUCUAAUGAAUUAAAAAGAAAUGGCGAGGAGUUAAAAGAGGUAAGGAUCAUUGAAAAAAUACUUCGAUUAGUAUACUCGAAGUUUGACCAUAUUAUUGUGACAAUUGAGGAAACAAGAGAUCUAGAGGAUAUGACGAUCGAGCAACUUUAAGAAAGGUUGCAAGUCUAUGAAGAAAAACAAAAAAAGAAGCAAGGAAUCGAAGAACAACUUCUCAAGAUGGAGGUCAAUCCAAAGAAAAGAAAAGAAAGCUCCGACAACGGAAGAAGGCAUAUUUAUCUCCCAAGAAAGCUAUACAAAGGAGAUUCUAAAAAAGUUCAAGAUGAAUGAUUGCAAGCCUAUAAGCACGCCAGUGGAAUGUAGAGUCAAGUUAUCUAAACAUGAUGAAGGGGAAGAUAUAGAUCCAACAUUCUUUAAAAGUUUAGUCGGAAGCCUACGUUAUUUGACAUGCACCAGACCAGAUAUCCUUUAUGUUGUUGGACUUGUGAGCCGAUACAUGAAGAAUCCAAAGACCACCCAUUUUAAAGCUGCAAAAAGAAUCCUUUGCUACAUCAAAGGUACAACUAAUUUUAGCUUGUUAUACUCAUUUUCUAAUGACUCCAAGCUUGUUGGAUAUAGCGAUAGCGAUUGGGGUGGAGAUGUAGAUGAUCGAAAGAGCACCACAGGAUUUGUGUUCUUCAUGGGAGAUACUGCUUUCACAUGGAUGUCAAAGAAGAAAACAAUUGUCCUGCUAUGCACCUAUGAAGCUGAAUAUGUAGCUGCCACAUCAAGUGUUGAUAAUAAUUUGGCUCAGAAAUUUGUUGAAGGAAUUAGGUUUGCCACAAAAAGAGCCAACCGAGAUUUGUGUUGAUAACAAAUCAGCAAUUGCCCUAUCCAAGAAUCCAAUCUUUCAUGAUUGAAGCAAACACAUAGACACUUGCUAUCAUUUCAUAAGAGAAUUUAUUACAAGAAAAGAAGUGCAAGUCAAGUAUGUAAAAUCACAAGAUCAAGCAGCUGAUAUCUUCACUAAGCCACUCAAGCAAGAAGACUUCGUAAAAUUCAGAAGUUUGCCUGGUGUCACAGGAUCAAGUUUAAGGGGGGGUGUUGGAUCAUAAACUUGAUCCAAGAUGAAUAAAUUCAAGCCCAACUCAUGGAAGGUUCUAUGAAUAUGUAUGGUUGGUGAGGUUUGAAUUAUUUGUGUUAGGUGUAGUAGGUGUGGUUAGUGAAGUAGGUGAGUGGUAGGUUUUAAUAGAUGGUGAGUAUUUGUGUAUUAGUUGAAUAAAUGAAUGGUUGUGAUUAUUUUUGUUUCAUGUAUAAAUCUCUAAGCUGUAGAGAGUGAAAAAUAAGAGUUGUAAUUAGUGAGGAGUAUUGUUGAAGAAAUAAAAUAAUGUGAUUUUUGUGUGUUUUAUUUGUUAAUUCUCCAACAAUAAGGAGCAUUAAUGAAAUAUGUUUAAUUAAGUAAUAAUUUGUUAUUUUAGAGUGAAAAAUAAGGGUAAAUUGUAUUCUACCCCAUAUUAGAUUGACAAACUUCAAUUUACCCCUUAAAAGUACAAAAACUUCAACUUAUCUCCAAAUACCAUUUUCUUCCCGUUAAAUUUAACUAUCGAAAGUAUAAAAUUAUAGUCUUACAUUCUCUCAACAGUCAACUCAUGGAUAAGAAGUCAAAACAUAUAUAUAAGGUAAUUUCCAUAAAACCCAAUGUAGGGGCGGGCAAUUGUUUGGUUUAGAAGUUAGGAACCGAAUGGUUUGAAAACAAAUGAACUGAUUGGUUUAUAUUUGGUUUACUUUGAACUGACAAACCGAUUGGUUCGCUUAAACUUAAUUAAAAAUACAUUUAUUUUAAAAUAUAAAUGCUUAAAAUAAUUUUUUUUUUCAUUUUUCAGUUUCCUAAUCUAAAAAUGUUUCAUAACCCUAAAUCAGCCGCCAUCUCUCUCAAGGUCGACGGCGGCACAACAAGCUCUCUCGGUCUCUCCCUCGCAAUCUCAUGGUGAUUGAUUUCUCGUGAUGUCUCCACUUUUGUUUCUUGUUCUUGUGUGAUCGAAUUCUCUCUAUACACACAUAGCCUAGCCUCUUGUUUUUUGGCUCAAUGGAGUUUCGUUUCUUUUCUCUCAGUUUCUUUCCUGUUGAAUUCUCGUGAUGUUUCUAUUUUUUUCUUUUUUUUUAGACAUGUUUUCGAAAUUGGCAUAAUACGAACCAAACCUGAACUGAAUUUCAAAAUCAAAUCGAAUUGAACCAAACUGAAAUUUUUAUGUUCGGUUUGGUUCGAUUAAAAAAUUUGGUAUGCGUUCGGUUCUCUUUCUUACGAACCAUUGGGUUUUAGUUCGGUUCGGUUUUGGUCUAGAAAAGAACUAACUAGAACCGAACCAAACCAAACCAAACCAAACCAUUUACUGGCCACCUUGCUCAUAUGUUUCAACAAAUUUCAAUGCACACUUAAACAUUUCAAUAAAAUUCGCUUUGUACCCAAAUUGAUAAUUUUUACUUUUUAAUUAGUUAAUUGUUAACUGCAGAAGUAUAAAAAAUUAUUUCUUUUUAAAAUAAGAAAAAUAAUUUUUUUCUAACUUUUUUCCUUUUUUAUUUUCUAGUUAAUUUCUUUAUCUGGUUCGGUUCAUUUUUCCCUUUUUUAUUUCUUACUGUUUUCCGCAUGUUCUCCACGCUUGAACUUUGCCAAGCAUCAUAAGGCCACAGUAGCCAUGCCAGCAACUUGCAACUAGGGGUGGGCAAAAAAACCGUAGUCUUAAAAAAACCGAACCGAACCGACGGUUUUUUCUAAUUCGGUUCGGUUUUUAUUUUUUUAAAAAACCGAAUAUACCGUUUGUAAAAAAAACCGAAAUGUCGGUUCGGUAUUCGGUUCACUUAGCUGAACCGAAAAACCGAACCGAAAAACCGAAUUAUUUUUUGAUUUUAUUCAAAUCAAACAUGUGUUAAUAAUUUUAUUCAAAUCAAACAUGUGUUAUUUCUCUUUAUAACAUUAUGAUUAUGUUUAUAUAGAUGGAGUAUUGGAGUUUGGUUAUAUAUUUUGAAAUUUUAAUAUUUCAUAUAUUUGGGAGUAUCUUAUUAAUAGUUAGUAAGAUAUUAGUGAUAAAAUGUGUUUUGAAUACUUUGUAUUUAUUGUUAAUAUUUGUAAUAAAAUUAGGAUAAAUUAAUUGUUGAAAAAAAUUAUUACAUUUAUGAGGCCCAAUGGGCUAAAAAUUUUAAAAUUCAAAAUAGGCCUAAUAGGCCCAGAACCGAAAAAACCGAACCGAACCAAACCGAUCUGAAAAGAACCGUUUGAGUUCGGUUCUUAUUGAGUUUGGUUCUUAUUCGGUUCUUUUUAUAAAAUAACCGAUUUAAAUCGGUUCUACUUAAUUUCGAACCGAACCGAACCGAACCGAACCGAACCGUGCCCACCCCUACUUGCAACAAAGUUUAGAGCUGCGCGAUGGUUGCAGCAACGUUAACGCCGCUAUUCCAAGUCUUGGCCCAUCAUCUCCUUUUCAACAAAUCUUAGCUUCUUCCCAAAUUCAUCAAUGAACCCCAAAACCAGAAUAAUCAUUAAAAUUAUUAACAACCAUUUGCUUGGAUCAAUGUAUGCUUGGCAUGUCUAUGGGCUUACUUGGAAUGGUCGCUGAUGGCCAUGGGCUUGCUUGGAUUGGCCGCGCACAGCCAUGGGCUUGCUUGGAAUGCCGGUACCCGUUUGCCACGGUUUUGCUAGCGUAUCCAUGGGUUUUGUUGGACAUGGCAGUGCGAGGCCAUGGGUGUUGCCGGACAAUGGACAUGGGUUUUGCUGGGCUGAUUAGGAAUUAACAGAGGCUAUGGAGUUGUUCAGUGUGUGAAAGAGAAAAAAACAUGAACGAAGAAGAAUAUGAACAGGGAAUAGAACGAAGAAGAUGAAGAAAGUAGAAGAGAGGGAAAAAAUAUUUUGCUUUUUUAUAAAUUUUCGGAUUUUUAUUUCAAAAUUUAUAAUUUUUGUUUAAAUUUGAGAAUCUUAAGGGUAAGAUUUUCUUUGUAACUAUGUGUAGAAGGAGGUUUUCAGAUGGUUUUUGGUUGGGUUAACAUGAAAUAUGCUUGUUUUAUGAAAUAUUAUUAUUGAGGUUUUGUUUUAUUUUCUAAAAAAUAGAUUAGAGGAUGAUUUUCAUUAAUGACACCCAUAAAGUUUGAAUUAGUUAUAUUAUAGAAAUAGUAGGGAUUUAAAUGAUAUAUCUUUUCAACAUAAAUAUAUCAGUAACAUAAGUUAUUCUAUAAUUAACAGGGUAUUAUCGUAUUUUAGUGAGUCAUUAUUGGUUGAUAGUUAUAUUUAACAGAUUUUAGACAGUAAAUUGAAGUUUAUUUUUUUUAUUUUUGAGUAAAUUAAAAUAUGUCAAUCUCAUAAGGGGUUAAAAUAUAAUUUAUCCAAAAAUUAGUGUUAAAAUUUUAUAGAUGAGUGUAUAUUAAGAUGUUCAAAGUAUUAGAACAUAAAUAAUCUUAGUUUUAAUAAAAUUUUGCCACAUAGUGAAUAUUAUCCUCAACCUCAAGAGAAACAUAUCAAUAAAAUAUACAAAAAUAGAAUGCAUUAGUACAUGUCAAUAACAAGACCAAUUAGAUCAUGUCAUAUUUGUUAUGUAGUUAUUUAAGCUAAUAGAGUAAGAAGUCCCAAAUACAUGUACAUCAUAUCUUGGUGAAGAAAUCGGUUCUACCCGAAAUACUUCUUCGUAUUGAAAUCAAUGAUGAUUGCUUGUUUAAAUAAUGAAAGUUAAAAUAAUUUUGUAAAUAAUUUCAUUCUUUAAUUUACGGUAUACAAAUAAAUUCAAAAAAUGUUAAUUUCUCUCAUACUUUUAGGACCCAAAAAAUAACAAAAAGUCUUAACAUAUUUAAUGGUUAUAUAUAAAUCAUCCGUACGUAUUUUUCUUGAGAGAAGCUCAAUUCGAUAGACAAUGCUCCCCUUAAUUUUCUUUUCUAAUUAGAUAAAAGAACAAGAGAAAUUGAUUACAAGAAUAACAAACUUUAAUUUACUUCUUAAAGGGUAAAAACCUUAAUUUACUUCUUAAAGGGUAAAAACCUCAAUUUGUCCUUAUAUUUGUUCAAAAGAUACAUUUUGUCUUCUUAAUAUAAACAAGUUAAAUUGAUGUUUCACAUCUUUUAGAAAUAAAUUAAAGAUUGUUAUUUUAAGUAGGAGGUAAAUUUCAAAUAAAACAUGUGUUCAUAUGAUAGAUGUGCAUUUUACAAUAAUUAAUAAACAAAAGGGUAGUGAUAUUUUCAACCUGUAAUUUUUGUAAAUCCACCCCCACUCCCAAGAAAUAAUUACAAUAAAUUCACAUAACUUUUUUAAAACUCAAAUAAAGAAAAAUUUUGGAGAUUUAAACUAUUGUAUACAAGAGGAUAAGAGUAAAUAUUUUUCAUGCAGUAUAAAAAGAAUGCGACAGCUCCUUUUCUUUCGGUAUUUUCACAACAAAAGCACACUUAAUAACUCAUCAAAUUAUUUCUCCUUUUCUUUGAUCGCUUCCCCUCUCCUGGAGCUGCUGAACUCCUUUGUUGCUGAUGAAGGGAACAAGUGAGGCUUUUCAAAAGAGGGCAAAGAGAUGGUGAUUCGAUUUGAUUCGAUAAUAGUAGUUUAUUUUAAUUGUUAUUCAUUUGAUUUCAUAGAAGUAAUUUUUAUUUUCAUUUUUUUGUUGAAAAUUGGUAAAAACGAACUAAAAUGAGAUAAUUACAUUAAAACAAUCUUCAAUGACUAAAGUAAUUUGAAAAAAUAAAAAUAAAAAUAAACAAGCUCAAAAUUUACCCCUAAUCCGAACAUUAUCCGAAUUCAGCCUAAUUGACCCAAAUCUAAUUGUAAUCCAAACUUGACAUGACCCGCAUAUAAUUAUAACCCGAUCAGAUCCAAACUCGACCUGAAUUUUUAAUUCAAUACGAUCCAAUCCAAAUAUUCCAAUCCCAUCAAAAUGAAACUUGAUUGGGUUGAUCCGAACCCGAAUUUGCCACUUCCGGAGGAGACCAUGACCCUAAAGGCUUUGAAAUAAUCUUUGCGGUUUCUUAAUGAAAUAGUAAAAGUUAUGCGCAAAAAGACUGUUUUGACCCUAGAAUACAUGAUAUAUAAAUUUCAGACAUUAUAUUCUGUGAAAUAAAGUCAAAGUAAACUGGUUGUUUGAUUUUUUAUUAAUUAUUUUCCAUUAUGACAAAAUGACAAAUAGACUUUAUUAAAAGUUUAAUAAAGUUUGGGCCUAACUCCUUGAUUUUUAUUUUUUUUAAUUAUUUUUCAUUUUGUUUUUUACUUGCAACAUUAGCUUUAAUUAUCAAUAGUCUCCAAAUCAAAAUGACUGCAACCUGUAGCUACAAGCAAAAUUCUCAAAUUUUGAAAUUUCUAACGACUACAUAAGAGCUAUAAAUAGAAAAAUCAUCUAAAAUUAAUCCUCCUUCAGAGGCAGAUUAAAUUCUUAGUAAUUUCAUAUAAUUUCAUUUCAUCAGAACAAUUUUCCAAAAGCAAUUUUAUAAAUGGUUGUCGAAAGCUUUAUCCCUUAAUUAUAUGUCACGUAUUUUCUUUGUGAUAUGAGGCGUGUCCAUAGACCAUAGUAUGAUAUUUAUUGUAAUUAAAAUCAUUAUGGAACUGAUUUUAUUCUUGUUUCUCAAACAAAAUAUCUAACUGCAGAUGUAAUAAAUUACUAAUUACCAUUAUUUGAGUCGCACUCUUUGAAUUGGAUCUUGGAGUUUCGAAUGACCAAAUGAAUUAGUGAGAUAAUGGCUUUUGCUUUUGUCUACCUGAUAAUAAAAUUUGUCCACCAUAUAGACAAGAAAUGGAUCGGAUCCAUAUGCUAUAGCUAAAUUGAAAAAUUUAUGUGGAGUUUUAUUGUAAGACAUUUUUAUCUGAAUAGAAAAAAUAAAUUUUUUUUAUUUUUAUCUAAAUGAUAAAAUAUCUGAAUAAAAAAUCAGUUUUCUUCUCACAAAUACCCUCAUUAAAUAUAUUUAUUUUCUACUUAGCUAUUAGAUGUCAUAUUAGAAUUUCCUUUGAUCUCAGAUUUUACUUGGUAUUAAAUACUUAAUCUGCGUUCGAUUCGAAUUUAGACAAAUUCUUUUGUCAUUAGAUAACAACGUUUUUACUGAAUUUGAUGUUCAUACAGAAACAGUCAAGUCCUUGUUGACUGAAAUUGGCAUUUCUCUUGUCUCUGCUCCUAUCAUUUGGUGUGAUAACCAAAGUGCAGCUGCCUUAGCAAGUAAUCCUAAAUUCCAAGAACUUAAAUUUAACUCUAAUAAAAGCUCAAAGUUAGUUAUGUUCCAAGUUCUCAUAAGUCAUAACUCAUCUGAUAUCCUUACUAAAGCUUUAGCUUAUCACCCUUUUCAUUAUCUGAGAGACAAGCUCACCCUGACUUCACUAGGCUGAGCUUGAGGGGAGAUGUUAAGAGUAUAAGCUGAAGCUGCUGAGCUGGCUGGUGACGUGCUGACGGUGUUGAGUUGACUAAUGUUUUGUAACUAAGUUGCUGAGCUGGAUUGGGUUGUUAUUUGCACUGAAUAAGUUGUAACGAAUUGUCCAGCUGGCUUGUUAUGAUUGGAAGGCUAAUUAGUUUGUUAAUAUUGCAGCUUUGAGCUCUGUUUCUGUAAUCAGUUUUGAGUGUAACUAUAAAUAUCACGCUCAUAAUGUAUGAUUUCAGCUUUAAUCAAUAAGAAUCUGUGAUUGUUCCAGAAACUUCAUAGUCAAAUUUUCUUUCUUAAUUUUCUUUCACUUUCUCUCGUGCCAAACACCUUAUUGAUUCAAAUAAAACUCCAUCCAAAGGCUCACGUUCCUCCACGUCUAUCACCAUGCAACCGUCGUCGUAAUGUGCUACCUUUGGUUACAUAGUAACCAUGUUAAAUUGGAUUUUCUAUAUGAUAUUAUCGUUAGCUUCAUUGUUUAAAUAUACCGUUAGUGAAAGAAUCGUUCGUGAUUAGGUACUUUACAACUACAACACGAUAAGCAAUCAAAGUUACAUGAAAGAAUCAGUAAUUAGUAGUUAGGUUAGAGGUGAAACGUGCAUGUUACAGGGAAGUAGAAAACAUGUCAAGUUGUUAUCAUAAAGUGAAUAUCCAAUUUAAGAAGAUAAUAACUGGAUUUUGAAUUCAAUUUCACUCUGUUUUAGUAGUAUGUAUUAUAUCUCACGAAUAUGAUAUCAGUGAAAAAUGUAUAAGUUAUGGGCUUUGAAUUUAUAUUAAUGCAUAUAUACUAGCUAUGAAAAUGACGAAUUCUAAACAGAUUUUGCUAUUUAACAAGUAAUUAAGAGGUCUAGCAAUCAAUUAAUAAAAAAGUAAUUCAAUAUAACAUUGCUACAAAGAAAUUAAACUAUAUAUAACAACUAUUUCAAUGAGACUAAUGAUAAUUAUAUCUAAGGUUUGAUCGAACAAACGGGCAAGAACAGCAAAAGCUAAUCUUAAUUUAGAAAUUUUUAUAAGGGGGGAGGAUUGUAAUAUACGCACUUGGACUUUCUUAAUAAAGUGCUGAUUUUUAUUUUCCUCUUCUCUAUUAAUUUUUAAUUUCGUCACUAUAGUUUAAUUGGGAUAAAUUGAGCUCGAUUAUACGCGCCGAUGGUCGGAUUUUAUUUUCGUAACGGGUCUGAAAUUCGCUUAAUUUGUAUUAAGCUUAAAAAAAAAAAAAAAAAAAAAAAAAAAAAGAGGGGCAGAAUUGUAUAACUGGAAAGAGGGAAACGGGUUUUCCAUUUUAGAGAGAAAGAACCCGAGAAGAGAGAGAAAGAUAGAGAGAGAAGUCAGACCCGUUGACCCGAGAACCCGACCCAGUAACCCGCGGAUUGACCCGACGAUUUCUCCCAACUCCAGCCACUUUACCGGCCGUGCUUGGUACCGAUCUGAAGCUUGGAAGCAGACCAUCGUAUCCCUGCUGUUAUCGUCGCCGGAAACUGGCCAGAACGCCGGUGAUCGAGCUCGAAAAGUCGCGGCUUCGACCCGUUUUCGUUGCCGUUGAUCCCGCCGGAGUUGUGACGCGCCACCACUUGGAACUGGUUCCUCACAUCCCCAGCAACAUUUCCCGACCAGCAACGACCGCCGGGGACGCCCGGAACUCGCCGAAUGAUCUCCGAAAAUUUGCGGAACUUUGGAACUUCGAUCCGCCGCCGGUAGCGCGCGUGGCGACUCACUGCCACCACCGUUGGAUUCAUCGAGGCCGGAACUAGCAGACCUAAGCUCCCCGUCAUCGUUGACUGAAGUCCGGUCACCGUUGACCGGCAGGGGCAAUUCGGUAAAUUCAUGAAACUUUGGGGUGAAUUUGUAAUUUUAUGUAAUCAGUGGACAUUUCGGUAAUUUUAUGCCCUGAGGGUAAUUUCGUAAUUUCGGACAAUGUGAUUAAUUUAUGUAAUCUGAAUUGAGGACAAUAUGGGUAUUAACGAAUAUGAGGAUAAUUUGGUAAAAUCAUGAAGUUUGAGGAUAAGUUGGUAAAAUAUUGAUGUUGGGGUAUUUUGGUAAUUUUGGCCUAUAGGGGCAUUUUGGUAAUUUUAUACAUGCGGGACUAGUUUAUCGUUAAUAGAUAUUUGUUUCGAGAUUUAUUAUAUUAAUUGGUUUUUACGGAGAAUAAUUAUGGUGUUUUCCGUGAUUAGGAGGAUCCGCAUCCGCGAACGAGAAUCUACCCGCGGACGUUGUUGAUACUGAGUCUAGACAUCAUCACUGUGAGUGGAAUAUACAAAACCUAUUUUCAUAGUAUAUGCUGAUUUUCUUAUAUAGUACAGUAUGUUUGAGAAAUAAAUGUUUAAUGCGUUGAUUUAAUGAUUUUCCAGCGAAUUGACUUUUAUUUAUGUGUUGAUAUUUAUUAUGAUUGAGAAUGAGUUCGAUUUAUGAUUUUAUUAGCGUUUUUGAGUAAAAGCAUGAUAUUAGAAUUGAGCAGACUUGAGAUAUGUUGAAUAGAAAGAAAAUGAGAUUUCAGAUGGGAUCAUAUGUUUACUAUCAGUUUUGAAAUCAUUAGACAGUACCCUUCCCUCCAGAUACAGAGAUACAGAUAAAAAGAGAUACAGAUAAGAGAUACAGAUAAGAUGAGAUAGAGGCCUUUGGGGCCCGUCGGGACACACAUAGAGGCUUUGGGCCGUGUGUUCGGGCGCUUUUGCCUUUUGGGGGCUUAUGCAUGCACAGUACAGAUAUAUGAGAUAAGAGAUAUGAGAUAUGAGAUGAGAUCGUCCCCAUCUAUCCGUUGUGGCUCCGGGGCGUGACGUUACCCAGAUAGUGCGUUAUUGCCUGGCCGUUGUAGCCCGGAUAUGAUCAGAUUAUCCCCUGGGUACUUGUUUGAUGACAGUUUUUAGUAUUCAGUAUUUAAUAUGAGUAUGGUGAUUCCAUCGAUUUUAUGCAGAUUUAUUAUUGCAGUUAUUCAAUUUGAAUUAAAUGAGUUUAUGAUAUUUUGAGAAAUUGAUUUGAGAAUUGAUUUACGAAAUUGAAAUUGAUUUAAGAAAAGAUUUGAGAAAGAUUAAAUGAUUUUGAAUAAUUUAUUAAAGUAUCAGCACCUACUAUCCACUCACUGAGCUCACUGAGUUUUAUACUCACCCCUCUUUUAUUAUAUUUUUCCCCCCACAGGAGAUUUACAGGUACAUCAGUCAACCCAGUAGUGAACGUUAGUUUGAUAUUGUGGUCACGUGAUGGUGCUAGAAGUCGUGGAUUUUAUUAUUAUAUUCGAAAUUUGUGUUAUUAUUUUAUGUUAUUAAGGAUAAUCGUUGUAUUUUAAUAUUCGGAUGAUUUUGGUGAUAUUUGAGAAGUUGGUUUGAGAAGUUGGUUAUGGAGGAUGUUUGGUUAUUAAAUUAUUUCGGGAGUGUUAUUUUGUCAAUUGCAGGGUUGGAUAUGUUUUAUUUAUAAGGGAGACUCUGCCGAAAUUUUUAUAGAUUUGUUAUUAAUUCGAUUUUACGAGUUUAGAUAGACUCGCCCUGGGGGAGGUUGCGGGGCGGGUCGUUUCAGUUGGUAUCAGAGCAUGGUUUUAGAUUCUGUAGACUUUAUGGUCGUAAAUAGAAUAAGUUUUGAUUAUUAAGUCGGAUUUACUAUUUUGUAGGCACCAUCAUAAUUAAAUUAGUUAGAAGUAAAAUUAUCUCUCUAGUAUUAUGCAAGGGUAGAAAUUUGGGUUGUACCAUGUUAUAAUUAUCAAGGAUAGUUUUGAUAGAAUUCUAAUUGUAAUAUAUGACUGUAUAAAAAAAAAAGAACAUUAAUGAAAGAUGUUUAGGUAAGGACUAUCUUGGAAUAGAAUUUUGAUUGUAAUAUAUCAAUAUAUAAAAAAAAAAUUUAUGAAAAAUGUUUAACAAGGACUGUUUUGAUAUUUUAAUGAGUAGUAAAAAUUAAUGUUAAAAUUUGAUAGAACAUAUAUAAAUAAUCCUAGCUCUAAUAAAAUUUUGCUACAUAAUUAGUUUAUCCCUUAAAGAAACAUAUCAAAAAAAUAUACAAAAACACAAUGCAUGAGUACAUGUCAAUCACAAAUGAAAGCAAUUAAGAUAAAGAAUAUGAUUUAUUUUAUUUUAUUUUAGUUAUUUUUUUGUUUCUUUUGAAACAAGACCAAUUAGAUCUGCAAGAAGUAAUUUUUUAAAAAAAUAAUAAAAAAAGGAGAAAUGAUGAAACCCACGUCCAAAGAUGCCGUUGUCGCGGAGGCCUAGAUCUCACUACACCCCAUCCCCUUCUACCAUAUUUUAUAAUUGAAGAGGCCAUUAUUGAAUUGAAAAAUUAUGAUUCAAAUAUCCAAAAGUAGAAAAAGAAAAGCAAUUGUUGGAAACACACUCGGAGUUUUAAAUUGACAUGAGAAAAGAAUAUAUUCAUCAACCUCAUACGUUAAUGAUGCGACGAGUUUAAGAAUAUAUUCCUAACGUGUGGGAAUUUAAAGACGUUACUACAAAACAUGUGUUCGUCGGUGGAGUAGAAUCAGGGAAAUUAAAGAUGCUACUACAACCACUAACGUGUGGGUGGAGAUAAGCAUAACUUUUUUCAUCAAAUGCCAAAUCCCCCCAGGUGGAGAGUGGGGACUCCUUCGCAUAAAUGUUGAUAAAAUUUUGACUAUGAUGUUAUUAGGAAUUAAGGGAAACUGUGGUGCAAUUGUGGUAUCGUGUCACAGUUGUAUUUGGUCGUUGGAUGUCAGUAGACCCUACCCAUAUAAGUGUAUCUAAUGGCUAAAUGUAAUUAUAACACGGUACCGCAAUUGCACCGUAGCCGAACCCUAAAAAUUAAGAUAUUCUCUCUCUACGUAUGCCUGCACGAAAUAAAUAAUAUGCAAAUAUAGUAUUUUAGUUUAUUAUUAAUAGUUUUACAAUAAUAAAAAUCAUUUUGAUAGACUGGAAAAUGUCAUAUUCGCAUUUUAUUUUGUACGGACGUCUGCGAGAAAGAACAUAUAUAUAUAUAUAUAUAUAGAGGAACGUGUAUUUAAGAUUUAGCUAGUGUGAAGUUGGGAAAUUUUUUUUUUGAACCCAGGCUAAAAUUAUUUCAAUAAAUUUUGAUCAUGGAGACUAAUAAGAUUUUUUUAGUUAUAUUUAUUAAUUUUUUAGGGACUAAUAAAUUUUGAUCAUGGAGACUAAUAAGAUUUUUUUAGUUAUAUUUAUUAAUUUUUUAGGGACUAACAUGAAUAUUAAUAAUUUUAUUGAGAUUAUUAAAAAAACAAUGUGCUAUUUUACAUCUAUGACUUUUCCAAUCUUUUUUUCUUUCGUUAUUUAUUCCUUUGUGAAUUUUAGUUAAUGCUUGAUAUUAUUUUUUUGCUCAUUUUUUAAAGCAGUAAUUAAAUCUGAACCCUUACAGUAGAAGAUUAUGAAAAAGUAAAGACACAAAAAUCAUAAAAAUCAUUAGUACGUCCAAAUUGUGCUAUUUUCAUACAUAACUUGAGAAUAUUUAUAAUUACGCAUCAGAACUAGUGGAGUAGAAUCAGGGAAAUUAAACAUUCUACAAUCAUUGACGUGUGGGGUGGGGAUAAGCAUAAACCUUUUCUAUGCAGUAUAAAAGAAUGCAAUAACUCCUUUUGUUUCAUAUCUUCGCAGCAAAAGCACAUCUAAUAACUCUUCAGAAUUCUCGUCUUCUUUGUCAGAAUGGUUGAUGCGAUCGUUUCCUCUCUCCUGGGGCAGCUGAGCUCUGUUGCGGCUGAUGAAGUGAAACAGCAGGUGAGGCUUGUGACUGGUGUCCGACAAGAAGUGACAAAGCUUACCAGCAAUCUUCGAGCCAUUCGAGCUGUGCUGGAAGAUGCAGAGAAAAGGCAAAUGCAGCGCGACAAUGCUGUUACUUUUUGGCUGGAUCAGCUCAAAGACGCAUCUUACGACAUGGAAGACGUGUUGGAGGAGUGGACCACUGCAAGGCUCAAAUUGCAGAUUGAAGGCGUUGAUGAUGACAAUGCUCUUGCUCUUGCUCCUCAUAAGAAGAAGGUACGCUCCUUCUUUUGUGCUGUAUCAAACUGGUUUGGUAGUUUCAAACAACUUAGUCUUCGUCAUGACAUUGCCGUCAAGAUUAGGGAAAUCAAUGGAAAGCUAGAUGGUGUUGCCUCCCAAAAAGAUACGUUUAAAUUUGUUGAGAAUGUGAGCAACAAUGUUAAGAAACCAGAGCGAGUGCGAACCACCUCCUUGAUUGAUGAGGGAGAGGUUUGCGGUAGAGUUGAUGAGAAAAAUGAGCUCUUAAACAAGUUGUGUGAAAGUAGUGAACAACAACAAGGCCUUCAUGUCAUCUCACUAGUUGGGUUAGGGGGUAUAGGUAAAACCACUCUUGCACAACUAGCCUAUACUAAUGAUGAUGUGAAAAGAAAUUUUGAAAAAGUUAUAUGGGUGUGUGUAUCAGACACUUUUGAGGAGAUUAGGGUCGCCAAAGCAAUCAUUGAAGGUCUAGGCAUGUCAGCUUCUGGUUUAAGCGAAUUCGAAUCUCUUGUGAAACAGAUUCAGGAAUAUAUUACGGGGAAGAAAUUUUUUCUUGUUUUAGAUGAUGUGUGGGAUGUAGAUUACAAAAAAUGGGACCCAUUCUUUUCUUGUCUAAAGAAUGGCCACCAUGAAAGUAAAAUUCUAAUUACCACACGUGAUAGGUCAGUUGCACUACAGUUGGGAUCAAUAGAUAUUAUCCCUGUCAAGGAGUUGGCUGAAGAGGAAUGCUGGUCGUUGCUCGAGCGGUUAGCAUUCUUCCGUCGUUCUGUUGAUGAUCAUGAAAAAUUAGAACCAAUCGGGCGAAAAAUUGCACACAAGUGCAAAGGCCUGCCUCUUGCUGCAAAGGUAAUAGGGAAUCUCUUGCGCUCUAAAAUUACAGUAAAAGAGUGGCAAAGAAUUUUAGAUAGUGAAAUGUGGAAAGUACAAGAGAUUGGGCAAGAUCUUUUGGCCCCUUUGUUGUUGAGUUAUAACGAUUUGCCCUCCAAUUCUAUGGUAAAACGGUGUUUCUCAUAUUGUGCUGUCUUUCCAAAAGACUACGAGAUGGAUAAAGAGGAGUUGAUUGAUCUGUGGAUGGCUCAAGGUUACCUUAAUGCAGAAGAAGACGAAGAGAUGGAGAUGAUUGGGGAAGAGUGUUUCAACAUUUUAGCAGCACGCUCUUUCUUUCAAGAGUUUGAGAAAAAUGAUGAUGAUGAUGAUAUUAGGAGUUGCAAGAUGCAUGACAUAGUACAUGAUUUUGCCCAAUUUGUAAGUAGAAAAGAAUGUUUGUGGGUAGAAAUGUAUGAUAACAAAGAAUCAGUCAUAAAGUCUUCUGGUGUCAAAGUCCGUCACUUAGGGUUAAAUUUUCAAAGAGGAGCUUCAUUUCCUACGUCCUUUUUUGAAUUUGAUAGAUUGCGUAGCCUCUUAAUUUAUGAUAGAAGUUAUUCCAAUCAGGUUCUUAAUAGUAAAUUGGCGUGUUUAAGGACAUUAGUUAUAAGGCAAUCGUUCCAAUAUUUUUAUCCUAUUUCUCUUGACUCAAAUGCGAUUAGAGAAAUUCCAGAAAAUGUUGGAAAAUUGAUACAUUUAAAAUAUCUUAAUUUGUCUAAAUUAGCCAUAGAGAUACUACCUGAGACUUUGUGUGAAUUAUAUAAUUUACAAAAGCUAGAUAUUAGGGAGUGCCGAUAUCUUAGGGAAUUGCCAGCGGGGAUUGGGAAGUUAAAGAACAUGAGAAGUUUACUGAAUGAUAAAACUUAUUCAUUGAAGUACAUGCCAAUAGGGAUUUCCAGAUUGACCAGCCUUCGAACAUUAGAAAAGUUUGUUGUGGGUGGAGGUGUUGAUGGUGGCAGCACGUGUAGGCUUGAAUCUCUGAAAAAUCUUCAACUCCUUCGUGAAUGUAGAGUAGAAAGGCUGAGUAAUGUAUCGCAUGUAGAUGAGGCUGAGAGGUUACAACUUUACAAUAAGAAAAACCUCCUUCGUUUGCGUCUUUGGUUUGGUGGAGUCGUAGAUGGGGAAGGCGAAGAAGGGAGGAGGAAGAAUAUUGAGAAAGAUAAACAACUUCUUGAAGCCUUACGACCGCCUUUGAAUUUAGAGGAAUUAGGGAUUGUAUCCUACCAAGGCAACAUUUUUCCCAAAUGGUUGACUUUGCUAACCAAUCUAAGGAAUUUAUUUCUUUCCUCGUGCGUUAACUGUGAGCAUUUGCCUCCUUUGGGAAAAUUGCCUCUGGAAAAACUCAAACUAUGGAAAUUAAAAAGUGUAAAAAGAGUGGGUAAUGAGUUUUUGGGAAUAGAAGAAAACAGUGAGGACGACCCAUCUUCAUCUUCAUCGUCAUCAUCAGUUAUUGCCUUCCCCAAAUUGAAAUCACUCGAAAUUUGGGACAUGGAGGAAUUGGAAGAGUGGAAUUACAGGAUUACGAGGAAGGAAAACAUCUCCAUCAUGCCCCGUCUUUCUUUCUUAAAAGUUGUUUUUUGCAACAAAUUAAAGGCGCUGCCGGAUUACCUUCUUCAAACGACGGCACUGCAGGAACUGCGUAUUUUUUCUUGUGAUCUUCUAGAAGAACUGCCCAUUCUAGAAGAUCGCAGGACAACAGACAUUCCACGUCUUUCUUCCUUGCGAAUUUCGGAUUGCCCCAAAUUAAAGGUGCUGCCGGAUUACCUUCUUCGGACGACGACGCUGCAGGAAUUGACUAUUGACGAAUGUCCCCUUCUGGAAAACCGUUAUAGAGAGGGGAAAGGAGAAGACUGGCAUAAGAUAUCUCACAUUCCCCACAUCGAGUGGUAAAUUCUCGAAUGGUUGCAAUUACUAUCACCCACCGGUAAUUUCUCACCUCUAUUUUACUUUGUUGUUACUUCAAACAACGACACUGCAAACAUUGACAAUUUGUACAUAUCAAUAAAAUGUACAAAGUUAAAAAUAUAGAAUGCAUUAGUACAUGUCAAUAACAAGACCAAUUAGAUUAUGGCAUUGCUUUAUUUUAUUUAUUUAUUUUUUUGAUUCUUUUGAAACAAGAUCAAUUAAUUAGAUCAUGCUAGAAGUUAAUUUUUUUUUUCAAAUGAAAAAGGAGCAGUCAUACAAAGUUUGAAUAUAAAAUUUAUAAUCUAAAACUAAUAAUGUGACAAUUAGCAUGUUAUUAACCUAUCUAAUAGAGUAGGAAGUCCCAAAUACAUCAUAUUCUGCUCCAGAAAUCCAUUCCACCUAGAAUACUUCUUUCUAUUGAAAUUAAUGAUGAUUUGUUUGUUUGCAUCAUGAAAGUUAAAAAUAAUUUUAUGAGUAAUUUGAUUCUUUACGGUACAAAAAAUAAAUUUGGAAAGUACUAAUUUCUCUCAUACUUUUUGGGCUAAAAAAUAAAUGUAACUCCAACAUAUUUAUUAUUUAAUGGUUCUAUAUAGAAUCAAUCGUGGUAUAAAUAUGUAAAACUUCCUAGUUAUCAAUUUUGUCUUGCAUAAUGAUAAUCGUUUUUUUUUAUAUAUAAUUUAUGUGACAUUAAUUCUUUAAAGUAAUUGUGGAAUUGUUUUUACUACAUUAGCCCUCUUUGUUUUAUUUCAUACGAGUUUAAUUAUGUUCACCAGGGAUUCGAGGAAAUGUCAGAACCACACUAGCAAUUCACAGGUCCAAUCUAAUUUGGUUUUAAUGAUGCAGGCAGGAGAGUAUGCUAAGAAAAUGAAAAGUUUAGCCAAAGGAUUGCUAAAAUGUUCUGCUGGUAAUUCACUUGCUUUAUUUUAUAGAAUUUCAUUUCCAUCUUCUUCUAUUGAUAUCUUGUUGUGAAUAAACAAGAACAGAGAAGUAAAGAUAUAUCAAAAUUAACUAUUACGAUGAUGCUAAAGCAAGCUCAAGCUCAAGCAUUGCAUUUUUAUUUUAUUUAAUUUAUAGAAUUUUCAUUUCCACCUGCAUUGCAUUUUUAUUUAUUUUUAGGUUGACUUUGAAUACUUCAUGGUGAAAAUGACGAGUUCAGCCAAAGGAUUGCUAAAUGUUCUGCUGGUAAUUCACUUGCUUUAUUUUAUAGAAUUUCAUUUCCAUCUUCUUCUAUUGAAUCUUGUUGUGAAUAAAGAAGAACAGGUAAGUAAAUGAUUGAACCACAGAGAAGUAAAGGUGUAUCAAAAUUCGCUAUUAUGAUGAUGUUAAAGCAAGCUCAAGCACAAGCAUUGCACUUUAUAUUUUAUUUAGUUAAUAGAAUUUUCAUUUCCACCUGCAUUUCAUUUUUAGGUUGACUUUGAAGACUCUAUGGAGAACAUUGGGGUAACCAAGGAUUAUCACUGUGGUUAUUGUGCAACGUUUGGUUGCUGGACUUUGAAGAAGGAAGUGAUGGCCGGGUCUGCUCUGUUUCAAUUGAGGAUGGAUAGCUGCCUGAAAGACAUGAUGAUUAUUAUUGUGUGAUGUUAAGGUGCUGAGAUCAUCAUUGCUAUCUUGUUUCAUUCUUGGAAUCAUUUAUCCUGUAUAAACAUUUGUUUUAACAAAUGUUUCAAUGGCUGCUGUAGUAACAAUUUCAUAUCUUGCAUCUCUCGGGUGCAUCAUGAUCACGGGUUUGAGAAAGCAUUUGUGGUAAAGCUUCAAAGCUUGUACAAUGGCUGUGAAAAGGCACAUUCAAUUCGGUACGUUUGGUGCGGUCUCCUAAUGCUACUACCAUAUUUUGUAUAGCAAUUAAAAUUCAGGUAUACAAUCUUAAUAUGCAAUAAAUCAUUGAGUACAAAGUUAUCUAUUAAUUAUAUGGUAACUGAAAUUUUCAUUAUAAUUUUAAUUAUCAUAUUAAUAUUAAAGUUUUUUGUAACCCUCUUUUACUUUGCUUGUACAGAGUAUCUGUUUUGGCUGAUAUGUCUAAUUCGUAGCAAUUCAUUUCCAUCGGUUUCCAUUGGUUUUAGCACAAACAGAAACAAAAAUCUGGGGAAAAAGUUUUACUUCUUGUGGUAUUAUGCCUUUAUUUAUUCAUUCAUCAUAUUUGUUCGAAUUCAUGCUCUCAUUCAGAGAGCAGCCUUUUCCAGGCUACUUUGUAGCCAAAUUUUCAUGCCAUCGAUGCAUGAUUGUCAUUUAGAUUUUCCAAAUAAUUGUUAGAUUGAAGAAGAAUAAGAAGAUAUUGUUAAAAGGGUAUUUAAUUAGCACCCUCUGAAUUUAGUUGCCAAUAAUGCAUUGAAAUGGUUGGGGAAAGUUAUUGUCUCACUUAAAUUACAGGUGAUAAGAUGCUGCUCCAAUUUUGCAAGCAUCUCGUGUUGCGAAGAUUUUGCCCACAUGAGAUGUUAUGAUUUUUGACAUCAGGGUAACACAGGUCAAAUUUUAGCAUCAAUAGAUAUCAUCUUCUUUACUGUUCUGCUCGAAAUAUUAAACUUUAGGCAAGUUGUUUUUGGUUGUGUGAGUUAUCAGGUUAAGGAUACUAAGCAGCUUAUUAAGGCAAAUGUCAGAAUGCAGAUUGCUCACCACACCUGGUAUGCAUGAUGGCCAGGAAGAUUAAUUGUUCACAAGCCAAUUUGAUCAGUGUUAGAUUUUUUUCCUCCUUUCGAGGGACAUCAUCAUCAAAUUUGAGUAGAGAAUCUUUGAAGGGAAUUUUGUUGUAAGAGUUUCACAGUAGUGAAUUCUAGAAGCUCGAACUCACUUGAGUGAGAUAUUAGGGAGUAUUGGGGAUUUGGGUUAUGAGUAAUCAUUAUCCUUCCAAUAUGUGUAAGCACUCACUUGUUAGUAAAAUCAUCUUCGUAUAUUGACUAUGUUUCUUUGUUAUCAGGUAGAGUGUGAUCUUCAAGGGUUUGAGAAAGUCCUUGCAGUAAAGUUUCCACCACAAGUAAUUGCUCAGUUUCAGAUUUUCUAGGCGUUUAAUUAGUUUCGAUUAUAAUAUUUAGUCACUCAUUCUGAAUCUUUUCUAAUUUUCAAGUUCCUUAGGGUCACAAUCAUUUUUUCAAGUCUGCUGUGGCUGCAAAAAGAUUGUUGGUCAUAAAAUUAUCUUGACCCUUGAGCCAUUGCGUUUGAGCACAAACAGAAACAGAGCUAAAGGAAAAGAACUUGACGCAAGAAGAUGCUCUGAAUAUAACAAAAGUAUAUUUCUACUUCUUGUGGUUAUUUACUUUUGUUUCUCCUGUCAGCAUAUUUGAUUAAUUCGUUCGAAUUCACACUCUCACACAUUAUUUAAAACCAUUUGUAGGUGGCUUGCAAGCUAAUUAAGUUAAUGCAGAAGCAAUACUCUAGACUUUAGUGAAGUUGUUUUUGUUUGUGUAAGUUAUCAGGUUAAGGAUACUAAGCAGCUUAUUAAGGCAAAUGUCAGAAUGAAGAUUGUUCACCGCACCUGGUAUGAAUGAUGGCGAGGAAGAUUAAUUGUUCACAAGCCAAUUUGAUCAGUAUUAGAUUCUUUUGCCUCCCUUCGAGAGAUAUCAUCAUCAAAUUUGAGAAGAGAGUUUUGUUUUGACAUUUCACUGUAGUGAAUUUUGGGAGCUUGAACCCACUUCAGUGAAAUAUUAGGGAAUACUGGGGAUAUGGGUUAUGAGUGAUCGUUAUCCUUCAAAUAUUUGUAAGCUCUCACUUGUUAGUAAAACCAUCUUCGUAUAUUGACUUUGUUUCUUUGUUGUCCGGCCGAGUGUGAUCUUCAAGGUUUGAGAAAGUCUUCGCAGUAAAAUUUCCACCACGUGCAAUUGCAGUGAAGGGGCAUAUACAUUUGAGUAAUUCAGUUUCAGAUUUUCAAGGCGCGUUUGUUUAAUUAGUUUCGAUUAUAAUAUUUAGUCACUCAUUCUGAAUCUUUUCUAAUUUUCAAGUUCUUUAGGGCCGCCAACAGUUUUUCAUGUCUACAUGUGGCUGCAAAAAGAUUGAUGGUCAUCAAAUUAUCUUGAGCCUCGAGGCAUUGCAUUCGAGCACAAAGGGAAACAGAGCUAAGGGAAAUGAAGACAGUAGGAGAUGCUCUGAAUAUAACAAAAGUAUAUUUCUACUUGUGGUUAUUUUAAUUUUGUUUCUCCUGUCAUCAUAUUUAAUUAAUUCGUUUGAAUUCACACUCUCACACAUUAUUUAAAACCAUCUGCAGGUGAUAGAAUAUGGGAGACGUUGUUAAUGGAAAAACAGUACUCUAGACAAAGAUGAGCAAAUUGAAGGCGACAAAUGCAAAUUGGAUUUCCAUGAAUAAUUGUUAGGCUGGUGGAGAUAUUCUUAAAAGGGCAUUAAGCUAUCUUAUGGAAUUGGAAAGUUAUUAUUACUUGAAAGCAAGCAGCAUCUUCGUUGCGAAGGCUUUCCCCACUUGAUAAGAUGCUGAGAUUGUUAUCGGCCCCUUAAUUAUUUAUUAACUCAGGUAUUUAUUAUCAGUACAUCAUCUUAUUCACCAUUUUGGCUGUAUAUAAAGAUUAAAAUUUCUAACAGUUGUUUCGGAUUCUUGUGUACUCAGGUUAAUAGGGCAAAUGUCAGAAUGAAGAUUGCUCAGUGCAACCGAUAUAGCAAGGAUGAUAGUUGUGAGGAAGAUUGUUGGCAAGCCAAAUAGAGCCCUCCAUUUGGAGAAAUAUCAUCCUCAAAUUUGAAUUGUUGAGCAUGUGAGGUGAAGCUAAAGCCUUAAUAAUGAGACCUUCCUGUGGAAGUUUCAUUUGAAUGAAUUGAACGUUCUUAGUGAGUGAGAAAUUAAGCAUAUAUCAGCGAUUUUGGUCGUCAGUGAAUGUUUUCCUUCAAUAUUAAUACACUGGCAUUUCUUAGUAAAUUCCCUUCACGUCACUUCCUCCUUGUUGGUGGGAUUAGUAAACAAAUGCCAUUUCUUAGUACAUUUUGAGAAUUUUGACUCCCAAAUAAGCCUGCAGAGCGGUGUAUGGUGGGAUUAGCUGCAGGAUUCUUUGCCAAACUUCCUUUUUAUUCCUUUGUUCACUUAUUCGUUAUAAAUAAAGUAAAAUUAGAAUAUUGUUCCGUUUACUGUCUAAGCUGGUCUAACAUUUGUUUAAUUUGGGCAAUUUUUAAUGCCUAACAGGUUAUCUGUGACAAACCCAUCAGUGAGUGUAUGCAACUAUUGCGUGGAUUUGAUAGAGUGGUCACCAACAAUUUUGAAGUUAUUGGAGUAGCACGGCUUUGAGGUCUCUCCCUCCCUCUUUUACGUAUUUGUCUAUUGAUCGACAUGUCUAUAUAUACAUUGAUAGACCAACUUACUCUUGUUUUAAUGUUUUGUUUGUUAAAAUUUGACUGGGUUAUGUUUAUUUGUCUCAUAUGAUGUCAAUGUGGUUCCUAUUGAAGUGUAUAGAUCUGUCACCUCAAAGUCUGAUUUCAAUUUUCCUUUACUUCAUCAACUAGCAUCCUUUCCAAGUCCAGAUACUUACCAAUAGUGAUACUUUGCUACGGAAGUACAAUUUCUCUUGUUUUACAGUUAAUUAUGAAAGAAAAGUUUUAAAUUUACAGAAUUCUGGUAUAGCUCUCUUAAGGAAAUGCGAGUGGUGAAUAUGGUUCCAACUUUUAAUAGGCUUAAUAGGCCCAUUUGUUGAGCCACAGUGAUUGCGGUGUAAAUUCUUCUUUACUGUCUAUAUGUGUUGGAGUUUGUCUAUUGUCCAACUUCUCAAAUCGAUUCCAUGCAGGGUUUUGAAUGUCUAAUUAGGAGAACGAUUAACGGAUGACCUUUUGAAGAAGGCUUACACAACAGGCCAUCUCGGGAUGUCAUGGCUCAGCUCAAAAGUCCCCAGGUGGGUGAUAUCAAAGAAUGCCAUUGUUUCUGGGCUUGGUCUCCUUGGCAUCAAACAAGAUAAUGUUGACUGCAUAAAUUUGUUGGAGUUAAUGUAGUCAAUUGCCCAAUUUCGCUGCCUAUCGAAGAGACACAUCAUGGAAGUCCUCAUCAAACUCUGAGACACCUAAGAAAUAGUAGGAGGUGGUGGUACUUGCCUGGGGUUAAUUUCCUGGCAAGUAUAGUUCACUGAUAGAGGGAAUCUUCUCUUGAUGUCUAAAUACCGUAUGUGAUACAACGUCGUAUAUUCUAAUUUUCCUUGAGUUAAAUUCUAGUCAGUUAGGAAAGUUAAUUUUGUUUUCGCUAUGGAUUGUUUCCUAGAUAAUAAUAGUUUCCAUGUUCCUUUGGGGUCUUAUUAACUCUCUGUAACCCAGUUCAAGUUUGCAAAUUCUAUUUCAGAUUUCUCAUAUAGUGUGCCUUUGUGACUUCUGUGAUACACUUUUGAUCACAAGUUUCCAUUUGAAGUAGCCAAUAUUCUUUAUAGACUAAUUAUCUAAGGAUUAUUUUAUACAAAAAAUGAAAACUUUAAUUAAUUGAUCAUACUUAACUUAGCUCUUGUUUAAUAUUACGAGCUGUUGUGAGAACAAAAAAAUAGCAGAAAGUUGACAGUGUGCAGUAAAUGUAUGACUUUUAAAUAAUAAUUUAAUAAAAUUAAUAAAGAUAUUAUAAGUUUUUUAAUAAUAAAGUAUGAGAUCAAAUUAAAUUAAUUAAUUUUGAAUUAUUUUAUUAUUGUCAAAAUGUAAUAUCUUAAAUAACAGUUAUUUUUAUUAAGAAUAUUUUUUUGGUAAUGAAUUAUACUUUUUAAAAUAUAAUUGAAAAUUCUUAUUAAUGAACUAAUAAAAAAUUAAUUAUUUGAGUUAUCUCCUAAACUACUUAGCUCACGAGAUAAAUUCACUUAGUUUAGAACGAAGCGGUGGGUUUUAUGUGGGAAGCCACAUCCUUACCACAUCAACCUCAACAUCGAAACAUGGAAUUGGACUAAAAAUAGUUCUUUCCCAUGUAUUUACGUAACCUCCUCCCAGUAAACGCAAAUAUGUAUUCUUGAGUGCAUGUAAUCCACAAGUUUGAUUGAGUAGAAGAUGUCGUUGUCACAAAGGCCUGGACGCCAUACCUCGAAUGAUAUGUUAGUAUGAAAUUAUGUUUUUUUUUUUUUUUUUGAGAGAGGUAUGAAAUUAUGUGAAAAUUAAUAUAUCACUUUUUUUUUCUUUUUUCCUUUUUUGCGUGAGUGAUGGCUUCGUUGAAUGACAGUUGGCAAAUAAUAAGUUAUCUUUUAAUUUUGGUUUUGAUUUGAAAAAAAUAUUAAUUUUUGUAGUUUCGGUAGAUGAAAUUUCGAAUCAAAUAUUAAUAUUGUUAAAGUACGCAACCCAAUAUUUGCUUAAAUUACAAAAAAGAUUAAUUACUUUGCAUAAAAAAAAAGUGAUCACUUGAUUUAACUUCCUUUACUAAAUUUACGAUUUAAAAUCCAAAAUAAAAAAAAGGAAAACAAUUUUUGGACACACACUCGGAGUUUUAAAUUAAUAUGAAAAACGAGUUUAUUAUUGAUAGGAAAACAAUCAAGUGAUCACUUGAUUUAACUUCCUUUACUAAUUUUACGAUUUAAAAUCUAAAAUAAAAAAUUGUUUAUUAUUGAUUGUCUUUUUCCCAAAAUUUAAGCUAAAACAGUAAUAUGUCCAAAAUACCCUCCACGUUAUCCUAAAACUUUAUAAACUCCCCCGUUCCUCUCAACAUCAUCUCUUCCAAAUCUUUCUCCCCCAAAAAACCAGCCAUGGCUUCAUAUUUAGUUACCUCAACACUCCAAUAUUGGCUUGUAAACAGUAGUGGUUCGACCUCUAGGCAACUUAGGUGGUUGUAUAGGACUCCGCUUUAUAUGAAAACCCUACGAGAUGAUUAUUUUGUAUAUAAAAGAGGAAAAUGAAUUUAAAAGUGAUUAUUAUUUAUUUAAUUUAUUAUUAUUUUGUAAUUAUCUUUUUCUAAAUAAACUAUCAAAUUCUUAUAAAGUUUAUUUAAUGUACUACUUAAUUGUUUUAAUUAAUUUCUACAAAACCAAUAAAUUAAUAGUUUCAAUCCUAAACAUUCUCUAUUUCAUUGUUAGAAUUAAUAAGUUAUAUUUCAAAAGUUUUAUAUUUAUUUUAAACCUCUAUAAAAGCCCCACAUUUUAUUACUUAUCCAUUACAUUUUUCCUCCAACAAUCAAGACAUCUUGGUGUUUUAGAGAAAGAAAGAGAAAGAAGGAAAAAAAUCUUGCUUCCCCUACUUUCUACUCUAGAAGAAACAGAAAAAAUCUAAUAGUUUUCUCUAUUUUCUAUGACUAUUGGUCGUUACUCAAAUUUUCAAACAAUAGCCUUAAUAUAAAUAUAAGUUAAUUUAUGAUUUCAUCUCAAAUUUUUGAUUUUAUCUUUUUAUUAUUCUCUUAAUUAGUUGUGUUUUAUUUGUUCUUAUUUCUUUUUAAUAUAUUCUUUUAUUCAUCUAAUUUUUUUUUGUGCUUGUUUUAUCUAUUUUGAAAUAAAACUAUAUCAAAAAACUUUAGACAAUAGAAGAAUAGAAAAAUUAGUUUAAUUUAAAAAAAAAAGUAAAAAGAUAUAAUUUAACUUAAAAAAAUAAAUGAAAAUGUUAUAAUUGAAUUAAAAUUUUAUGAAUUAACAUCAAUGGAAUGAAUUUUUAUUUAAUAAUUUUACAUUUUAAAGUGUUUAAAGAAUUAAUUUUCAAUAAAUAAUAUACGUUAUAUACCUUCUAGAAGAUAUAUAACGUAUUUCAAUAAAUAAUUGUACAUUAUGAAUUAACAUCAAUGGAAUGGAUUACCUUCUUCAAACGACGGCACUGCAGGAACUGAGUAUUUCUUAUUGUCCAAUUAUGGAAGAACUGCCCAUUCUAGAAGAUCACAGGACAACAGACAUACCACGUCUUUCUUCCUUGCGAAUUUGGAAUUGCCCCAAACUAAAGGUGCUGCCGGAUUACCUUCUUCGGACGACGACGCUGCAGAAAUUGACAAUUUGGGGAUGUCUCAUUCUGGAAAACCGUUAUAGAGAGGGGGAAGGAGAAGACUGGUAUAAGAUAUCUCACAUUCCCCACAUCAAGUGAUCGCCGUAAUUUAUCACUCGCCGGUAAUUUCUCCUCCGCCUCUGAUUUACUUCGUUGUUGCUUGCAAUGAAAUUAAUAAAAAUAAUUAUAUUUUGAAUUAAAAUUUCUAUACUUAUUUACUUUUAAAAAAUAUGUGCUCUUUUGUAAAAUUUCAUGCAAUGUAAUUUAUUUUUUAAUGUACGAUAAUUUGUUGUGUGUAACUUCCUGAGAGACAAAAUCUCUGUGAUACAUUUGCAGUAAUGUUGAAAACUAAAUUAUCAAUUUUAUCUUGUAUAAUGAUAAUCUUAUUUUUUUAUAUAUAAUUUAUGUGACAUUAAUUCUUUAAAGUAAUUGUGUAAUUGUUUUUACUACCAGUUUAUGUUUCAUUUUAAUUAUGUUCACCAGGGAUUCGAGGAAAUGUCAGAACCACACUAGCAAUUCACAGGUCCAAUCUAAUUUGGUUUUAAUGAUGCGGCAGGAGAGCAAGACUAUGAAAAUGAAAAGUUUAGCCAAUGGACUGCUAAAAUGUUCUGCUGGUAAUUCACUUGCUUUAUUUUAUAGAAUUUCAUUUCCAUCUUCUUCUAUUGAUAUCUUGUUGUGAAUAAACAAGAACAGAGAAGUAAAUGAUUGAACCACAGAGAAGUAAAGAUAUAUCCAAAUUCGAUUAUUAUGAUGAUUAAAGCAAGCUCAAGCUCAAGCAUUGCAUUUUUUAUUUUAUUUAGUUUAUAGAAUUUUCAUUUCCACCUGCAUUGCAUUUUUAUUUCAUUUUUAGAUUGACUUUGAAGACUCUAUGGAGAACAUUGGGGUAACCAAGGAUUAUCACUGUGGUUAUUGUGCAACGUUUGGUUGCUGGACUUUGAAGAAGGAAGUGAUGGCCGGGUCUGCUCUGUUUCAAUUGAGGAUGGAUAGCUGCCUGAAAAACAUGAUGAUUAUUAUUGCAUGAUGUUAAGGUGCUAAGAUCAUCCUUUCUAUCUUGUUUCAUUCUUGGAAUCAUUUAUCCUAUAUAAACAUAUUGAAUUGUGCUAAUAUUAUCAUAUGCGUAAAUGGAGGCAGGAAUUUGGUGUUGACACUAUUAUGCAGGUAACCACACUUGAUAAUUGGCACAAAUUUGCGUUGUCAGAAUAUCCUUUAAUAUUCAACGUGUCUCUUUGUGUUAUCAGGAGUAUCAUGUCCAAGGGUAAAGGUGCUGCCGGAUUGGUGGAUGCCCCAAAUUAAAGGUGCUGCCGGAUUACCUUCUUCAAUCGACGACACUGCAGAUAUUGAGUAUCUUUUUGUGAAAAUAUGGAAGAACUGCCCAUUCUAGAAGACCGCAGGACAACAGACAGAUCACUUGCCCCAAAUUAAUGAUGCUGCCGGAUUACCUUCUUCAAACAAUGACACUGUGGAUAUUGAGUAUUUAUGAAUGUCCUAUUCUGGAAAAACGUUACAGAGAGGGGGAUGGAGAAGACUCGCAGAAUGUUAAGGUGCUAAUAUCAUCAUUUCUAUCUUGUUUCAUUCUUGGAAUCAUUUAUCCUAUAUAAACAUAUUGAAUUGUGCUAAUAUUAUCACUUGUGUCAAUGGAGGCAGGAAUUUGGUGCUGAAACUAUUAUGCAGGUAACCACACUUGAUAAUUUGCACAAAUUUGCGUUGUCAGAAUAUCCUUUAAUAUUCAUUGUGUUUCUUUGUGUUAUCAGGUUAUCAUGGUAUACAGAGUAUCAUUUUCAAGGGUUUGUAAGAGCUUUCGCAGUAAAGUUAGUCAUCACCACCUUGUGCAAUUGCACAUACAUUCAGAGUACUUCAAUAUUAGAUUUUCAAGGUUUGUAUGUUUAGUUGCGAUUAAAAUUUUUAGUCACUCAUUCUUAAUCUUUUCUAAUUUUCAAGUUCUUUAGGGCCAUAAACAGUUUUUCCAACUCAUUCUUAUUUUUUAGGUUGAUUUCGAGUACUCUGUGGAGAACAUUAGUGAGACAAAGGAUUAGACUGGCGAUGGAACUGCUGCCUCUGUUGUUAUUGUGCAAGGUUUGAUCACUGGACCUUGAACACGAAAGCCUUACACGCAUUCUGUAAUUCAAGCGUUCUCUAAAACGAACGAGCAGUAGAAGGAAUAGUGAUGACCGGAUCUGCUCUAUUUUAAUUGAAGAUCUCUGUGAUAUUGAGGGGCUUAAAGUAGUUGAUGCUUUUUGAAAAUUGUUAUUACGGAUGAAUUCAUUCCUGAAGACGAGUAGCUAAUGAUUGUUAAGGCUUAUUUUCUUAAAGUUCCUUUCUUAACAAGUGUUUCAAUGCUGGCUGUAGUAACAUUUUCAUAUCUUGCAUCUCUCGGGUGCAUCAUGUUCACAUGUUUGAAAAGGCAUUUGUGGUAAAGCUUCAAAGGUUGUACAAUGGCUGUGAAAAGGCAUAUUCAAUUCGGUACGUUUUGGUGUGGUCUCCUAAUGCUAAUAUGAUAUUUUGUAUAGCAAUUAAAAUUUAGGUAUACAAUCUUAAUAUGCAAUAAAUCAUUGUGUACAAAGUUUUCUAUUAAUUAUAUGGUGACUGAAAUUUUAAUUAUCAUAUCAAUCUUAAAUUUUUUUGUAACUCACUUUUACUUUGCUUGUACAGAGUACCUGUUUUGGCUGAUAUGUCUAAUUCGUAGAAAUUCAUUUCCAUCGGUUUCCAUUGGCUUUAGCGCAAACAGAAACAGAGCUCUGGGAAAGAGUUUGACUUCUUGUGGCAUUAUGCCUUUGUUUCUUCAUUCAUCAUAUUUUUCAAAUUCAUGCUCUCAUUCAGAGAGUAAAGCCUUUUCCAGGCUGCUUUGUAGACAAACUUUGACUCCAUUGAUGCAUGACUGUCAUUUAGAUUUUCCAAGAAACUGUUAGAUUGGAGAAGAAUAAGAAGAUAUUGUUAAAAGGGUAUUUAAUUAGCG